AAGUAGUGGAGAAUCACCAGGAAGUUGAAUAAAUCUCAUAAGAGUUAGGAUGAAGAAGUUAUCCCACUUGCAAAUAAGGAGAUCCCAGUUUCCCUGUUUGGGAAUAUGACAACUUCUUCGACAUUCUAAUCAAACCAGGAUGAAUCGUGAUGUGAAAAUCUGUAUUUUGAUAGAUAAAGUAGUGGAGAAUAUCCAGGAAGUUGAAUAAAUCUCAUAGGAGUUAGGUUGAAGAAGUUAUCCCACUUUCAAAUCAGGUGAUCCUAGUUUUCCUGUUUGGGAAUAUGACAACUUCUUUGUCAUUCUAAUCAAACCAAGAUGAAUCGCGAUGUGAGGUGCUGUAUUUGUAUCCAUAAAGUAGUGGAGAAUCACGAGGAAGUUGAAUAAAUCUGAUAGGAGUUAGGAUGAAAAAGUUAUCCCAUUUUCAAAUCAGGUGAUCCUAGUUUUCUUGUUUGGGAAUAUAACAACUUCUUCGUCAUUCUAAUCAAACCAAGAUGAAUCGCGAUGUGAGGUGCUGUAUUUGUAUCCAUAAAGUAGUGGAGAAUCACGAGGAAGUUGAAUAAAUCUGAUAGGAGUUAGGAUGAAGAAGUUGUUUGGGAAUAUGACAACUUCUUUGUCAUUCUAAUCAAACUAGUAUGAAUCGCGAUGUAAGAAGUGGUAUUUGGAUACAUAACGUAGCGGAGAAUCCCUAGGAAGUUGAAUAAAUUUCAUAGGAGUUAGGAUGAAGAAGUUAUCCCACUUUUAAAUAAGGUGAUCCCAGUUUUGCUGAUUGGGAAUAUGACAAUUUCUUUGUCAUUCUAAUUAAACUAGGAUGAAUCGCGAUCAAAGAGGCUGUAUUUGGAUACAUAAAGUAGUAGAGAAUUACCAGGAAGUUGCAUAAAUCUCAUAGGAGUUAGGAUGAAGAAGUUAUCCCACUUUAAAAUUAGGUGAUCUCAGUUUUACUGUUUGGAAAUAUGACUACUUCUUUGUCAUUCUAAUUAAACCAGGAUGAAUCGCGAUGUAAAAAUUGGUAUUUGGAUCCAUAAAAUAGUGGAGAAUCCCUAGGAAGUUGAAUAAAUCUCAUAGGAGUUAGGAUGAAGAAGUUAUCCCACUUUCAAAACAGGUGAUUCCAGUUUUCUUGUUUGGGAAUAUGACAAAUUCUUCGUCAUUCUAAUUAAACCAGGGUGAAUCGCGAUGUGAGAGCCUAUAUUUUGUUACUUAAAGUAGUGGAGAAUCACCAGGAAGUUGAAUAAAUCACAUAGGGAUUAGGAUGAAGAAGUUAUCCCACUUUCAAAUCAGGUGAUCCUAGUUUUCCUGUUUGGGAAUAUGACAACUUUGUUGUCAUUCUAAUCAUACCAGGAUGAAUCGCAAUCUGAGAAGCUGUAUUUGGAUACAUAAAGUAGUAGAGAAUUACCAGGAAGUUGCAUAAAUCUCAUAGGAGUUAGGAUGAAGAAGUUAUCCCACUUUAAAAUUAGGUGAUCUCAGUUUUACUGUUUGGAAAUAUGACUACUUCUUUGUCAUUCUAAUUAAUCCAGGAUGAAUCGCGAUGUGAAAAUUGGUAUUUGGAUCCAUAAAAUAGUGGAGAAUCCCUAGGAAGUUGAAUAAAUCUCAUAGGAGUUAGGAUGAAGAAGUUAUCUCAUUUUCAAAUCAGGUGAUCCCAGUUUUCUUUUUUGAGAAUAUGACAACUUCUUUGUCAUUCUAAUCAAACCAAGGUGAAUCGUGAUGUGAGGUGCUGUAUUUGGAUCCAUAAAGUAGUGGAGAAUUACCAGGAAGUUGAAUAAAUCUGAUAGGAGUUAGGAUGAAGAAUUUAUCCCACUUUCAAAUCAGGUGAUCCCAGUUUUCCUAUUUGGGAAUAUGACAACUUCUUUGUUAUUCUAAUCAAACCAGGAUGAAUCGCAAUCUGAGAAGUAGAAUUUGGAUUCUUAAAGUAGUGGAGAAUCACCAGAAAGUUGAAUAAAUCUCAUUGGAGUUUGGAUGAGGAAUUUAUCUCACUUUCAAAUCAGGUGAUCCCAGUUUUCCUGUUUGGGAAUAUGACAACUUCUUUGUCAUUCUAAUUAAACCAGGAUGAAUCGCGAUAUGAGAAGCUGUAUUUUGAUACAUAUAGUAGUGAUGAAUCACCAUGAAGUUGAAUAAAUCUCAUAGGAGUUAGGAUGAAGAAGUUAUUCCACUUUCAAAUCAGAUGAUCUCAGUUUUCGUUUUUGGGAAUAUGACAACUUUUUUGUCAUUCUAAUCAAACGAAAAUGAAUCAGAAGCUGUAUUUGGAUCGAUAAAGUAGUGGAGAAUCACCAGGAAGUUGAAAAUAUCUAAUAGGAGUUAGGAUGAAAAAGUUAUCCCACUUUCAAAUCAGGUGAUCCCAGUUUUCCUGUUUGGGAAUAUGAAAACUUCUUUGUUAUUCUAAUUAAACUAGGAUGAAUCACGAUCUGAGAGGCUGUAUUUGGAUUCAUAAAGUAGUGGAGAAUUACCAGGAAGUUGAAUAAAUCUCAUAGGAGUUAGGAUGAAGAAGUUAUCCCACUUUAAAAUUAGGUGAUCUCAGUUUUACUGUUUGGAAAUAUGACUUCUUCUUUGUCAUUCUAAUUAAACCAGGAUGAAUCACGAUGUAAGAAGCNNNNNNNNNNNNNNNNNNNNNNNNNNNNNNNNNNNNNNNNNNNNNNNNNNNNNNNNNNNNNNNNNNNNNNNNNNNNNNNNNNNNNNNNNNNNNNNNNNNNNNNNNNNNNNNNNNNNNNNNNNNNNNNNNNNNNNNNNNNNNNNNNNNNNNNNNNNNNNNNNNNNNNNNNNNNNNNNNNNNNNNNNNNNNNNNNNNNNNNNNNNNNNNNNNNNNNNNNNNNNNNNNNNNNNNNNNNNNNNNNNNNNNNNNNNNNNNNNNNNNNNNNNNNNNNNNNNNNNNNNNNNNNNNNNNNNNNNNNNNNNNNNNNNNNNNNNNNNNNNNNNNNNNNNNNNNNNNNNNNNNNNNNNNNNNNNNNNNNNNNNNNNNNNNNNNNNNNNNNNNNNNNNNNNNNNNNNNNNNNNNNNNNNNNNNNNNNNNNNNNNNNNNNNNNNNNNNNNNNNNNNNNNNNNNNNNNNNNNNNNNNNNNNNNNNNNNNNNNNNNNNNNNNNNNNNNNNNNNNNNNNNNNNNNNNNNNNNNNNNNNNNNNNNNNNNNNNNNNNNNNNNNNNNNNNNNNNNNNNNNNNNNNNNNNNNNNNNNNNNNNNNNNNNNNNNNNNNNNNNNNNNNNNNNNNNNNNNNNNNNNNNNNNNNNNNNNNNNNNNNNNNNNNNNNNNNNNNNNNNNNNNNNNNNNNNNNNNNNNNNNNNNNNNNNNNNNNNNNNNNNNNNNNNNNNNNNNNNNNNNNNNNNNNNNNNNNNNNNNNNNNNNNNNNNNNNNNNNNNNNNNNNNNNNNNNNNNNNNNNNNNNNNNNNNNNNNNNNNNNNNNNNNNNNNNNNNNNNNNNNNNNNNNNNNNNNNNNNNNNNNNNNNNNNNNNNNNNNNNNNNNNNNNNNNNNNNNNNNNNNNNNNNNNNNNNNNNNNNNNNNNNNNNNNNNNNNNNNNNNNNNNNNNNNNNNNNNNNNNNNNNNNNNNNNNNNNNNNNNNNNNNNNNNNNNNNNNNNNNNNNNNNNNNNNNNNNNNNNNNNNNNNNNNNNNNNNNNNNNNNNNNNNNNNNNNNNNNNNNNNNNNNNNNNNNNNNNNNNNNNNNNNNNNNNNNNNNNNNNNNNNNNNNNNNNNNNNNNNNNNNNNNNNNNNNNNNNNNNNNNNNNNNNNNNNNNNNNNNNNNNNNUUAGGAUGAAGAAGUUAUCCCACUUUCAAAUCAUGUGAUCCUAGUUUUCUUGUUUGGGAAUAUUACAACUUUUUUGUCAUUCUAAUCAAACCAGGAUGAAUCACGAUGUGAGAAGCUGUAUUUUGAUACAUAAAGUAGUGGAGAAUAUCCAGGAAGUUGAAUAAAUCUCAUAGGAAUUAAGAUGAAGAAGUUAUCCUACUCUCAAAUCAGGCGAUCCCAUUUUUCCUAUUUGGGAAUAUGACAACUUCUUUGUCAUUCUAAUCAAACCCGGAUGAAUCGCGAUGUGAGAAGCUGUAUUUGGAUACAUAAAGUAGUUGAGAAUCAUCCGGAAGUUGAAUAAAUCUCAUAGGAGUUAGGAUGAAGAAGUUAUCCUACUUUCAAAUCAGGUUAUCCAAGUUUUCGUAUUUCGGAAUAUGACAACUUCUUUGUCAGUCUAAUCAAACAUAGAUGAAUCGCGAUGUGAGAAGCUAGAUUUGGAUACAUAAAGUAGUGGAGAAUAUCCAGGAAGUUGAAUAAAUCUCAUAGGAAUUAAGAUGAAGAAGUUAUCCUACUCUCAAAUCAGGCGAUCCCAUUUUUCCUAUUUGGGAAUAUGACAACUUCUUUGUCAUUCUAACCAAACCAGCAUGAAUCGCGAUUUGGAAAGUUGUAUUUUAAUACAUAACGUAGUGGAGAAUAGCCAGAAAAUUGAAUAAAACUCAUAGGAAUUAGGAUGAAGAAGUUAUCCCACUUUUAAAUCAGUCGAUCCCAUUUUUCCUAAUUGGGAAUAUGACAACUUUUUCGUCAUUCAAAUCAAACCAGGACGAAUCGCGAUGUGAAAUGCGGUUUUUGGAUACGUAAAGUAGUGGAGAAUCACCAGGAAGUUGAAUAAAUCUCAUAGGAGUUAGGAUGAAGAAGUUAUCCCACUUUCAAAUCAGGUGAUCCCAGUUUUCCUGUUUAGGAAUAUGACAACUUCUUUGUCAUUCUAAUCAAAGCAAGAUGAAUCGUGAUGUGAGAAGCUGUAUAUUAAUACAUAAAGUAGUGGAGAAUAUCUUGGAAGUUGGAUAAAUCUCAUAAGAGUUAGGAUGAAGAAGUUAUCCCACUUUCAAAUCAGGUGAUCCCAGUUUUCUUUUUUGAGAAUAUGACAACUUCUUUGUCAUUCUAAUCCAACCAAGAUGAAUCGCGAGGUGAGAAGCUGUAUUUUGAUCCAUAAAGUAGUGGAGAAUCACCAGGAAGUUGAAUAAAUCUCAUUGGAGUUAGGAUGAAGAAGUUAUCCCACUUUCAAAUCAGGUGAUCCCAGUUUUCCUAUUUGGGAAUAUGACAACUUCUUUGUCAUUCUAAUUAAACCAGGAUAAAUCGGGAUCUGGGAAGCUGUAUUUUGAUACAUAAAGUAGUGGAGAAUAUACAGGAAGUUGAAUAAAUCUCAUUGGAGUUAGGAUGAAGAAGUUAUCCCACUUUCAAAUCAGGUGAUCCCAGUUUUCUUGUUUGGAAAUAUGACAACUUCUCUGUUAUUCCAAUCAAACCAGGAUAAAUCACGAUCUGAGAUGUUGUAUUUGGAUACAUAAAGUAGUAGAGAAUUACCAGGAAGUUGAAUAAAUCUCAUAGGAGUUAGGAUGAAGAAGUUAUUCCACUUUCAAGUCAGGUGAUCCUAUUUUUCUUGUUUGGGAAUAUGACAACUUUUUUGUCUUUCUAAUCAAACCAGGAUGAAUAGCGAUUUGAGAAGCUGUAUUUAGAUAUAUAAAGUAGUGGAGAAUCACCAUGAAGUUGAAUAAAUCUCAUAGGAGUUAGGAUGAAAAAGUUAUCUCACUUUCAAAUCAGGUGAUUCCAGUUUUCUUGUUUGGGAAUAUGAGGACUUUUUCGUCAUUCUAAUCAAACCAGGAUGAAUCGCGAUGUGAGAAGCUGUAUUUGAGGACUUUUUCGUCAUUCUAAUCAAACCAGGAUCAAUCGUGAUGUGAGAAGCUGUAUUUAGAUACAUAACGUAGUGGAAAAUAGCCAGGAAGUUGAAUAAAUCUCAUAGGAAUUAGGAUGAAGAAGUUAUCCCACUUUUAAAUCAGGCGAUCCCAUUUUUCCUAAUUGGGAAUAUGACAACUUUUUCGUCAUUCUAAUCAACCCAGGACGAAUCGUGAUAUGAGAAGCUGUAUUUGGAUACAUAACGUAGGGGAGAAUCACUAGGAAGUUGAAUAAAUCUCAUAGGAGUUAGGAUGAAGAAGUUAUCUCACUUUCAAAUUAGUUGAUCCCAGUUUUCCUGUUUGGGAAUAUGACAACUUCUUCGUCAUUCUAAUCAAACCAUGAUGAAUCGCGAUUUGAGAAGCUGUAUUUUGAUACAUAAAGUAGUGGAAUAUCCAAGAAGUUGAAUAAAUCUCAUAGGAGUUAGGAUGAAGAAGUUAUCUCACUUUGAAAUCAGGUGAUCCCAGUUUUCUUUUUUUGAGAAUAUGACAACUUCUUUGUCAUUCUAAUCAAGCCAAGAUGAAUCGCGAUGUGAGAAGCUGUAUUUGGAUCCAUAAAGUAUUGGAGAAUCACCAGGAAGUUGAAUAAAUAUGAUAGGAGUUAGGAUGAAGAAGUUAUCCCACUUUCAAAUCAGGUGAUCCCAGUUUUCCUGUCUUGGAAUAUGACAACUUCUUUGUUAUUCUAAUUAAACCAGGAUGAAUCGCAAUCUGGGAAGCUGUUUUUUUUAUACAUAAUGUAGUGGAGAAUAUCCAAGAAGUUGAAUAAAUCUCAUAGGAGUUAGGAUGAAGAAGUUAUCCCACUUUCAAAUCAGUUGAUCCCAGUUUUUCUGUUUGGGAAUAUGGCAUCUUCUCUGUCAUUCUAAUCAAACCAGGAUGAAUCACGAACUGAGAAAUUGUAUUUGGAUACAUAAAGUAGUGGAGAAUUACCUGGAAGUUGAAUAAAUCUCAUAGGAGUUAGGAUGAAGAAGCUAUUCCACUUUGAAGUCAGGUGACCCCAGUUUUCCUGUUUGGGAAUAUGACAACUUCUUCGUUAUUCUAAUCAAACCAGGAUGAAUCGCGAUGUAAGAAGUUGUAUUUGGAUACAUAACGUAGUGGAGAAUAGCCAGGAAGUUGACUAAAUCUCAUAGGAGUUAUGAUGAAGAAUUAUCCCACUUUCAAAUCAGGUGAUCACAAUUUUUCUGUUUGGGAAUAUGACAAUUUCUCUGUCAUUAUAAUCAAACCAGGAUGAAUCGCGAUCUGAAAAUCUGUAUUUUGAUACAUAAAGUAGUGGAGAAUUACCAGGCAGUUGAAUAAAUCUUAUACGAGUUUGGAUGAAGAAGUUAUCCCACUUUCAAAUCAAGUAAUCCUAGUUUUCCUGUUUGAGAAUAUGACAACUUCUUUGUCCUUCUAAUCAAACCAGGAUGAAUCGUGAUGUGAGAAGCUGUAUUUGGAUACAUAAUGUAGUGGAGAAUCACCAGGAAGUUGAAUAAAUCUCAUAUGAGUUAGGAUGAAGAAGUUAUCCCACUUUCAAAUCAGUUGAUCCCAGUUUUNNNNNNNNNNNNNNNNNNNNNNNNNNNNNNNNNNNNNNNNNNNNNNNNNNNNNNNNNNNNNNNNNNNNNNNNNNNNNNNNNNNNNNNNNNNNNNNNNNNNNNNNNNNNNNNNNNNNNNNNNNNNNNNNNNNNNNCACUUUCAAAUCAGGUGAUCCCAGUUUUCCUGUUUGGGAAUAUGACAACUUCAUUGUCAUUCUAAUAAAACCAGGAUGAAUCGCGAUGUGAAAAGCUGUAUUUGGAUACAUAACGUAGGGGAGAAUCACAAGGAAGUUGAAUAAAUCUCAUACGAGUUAGGAUGAAGAAGUUAUCCCAUUUCCAAAUCAGUUGAUCCCAGUUUUUCUGUUUGGGAAUAUGACAACUUCUUUGUCCUUCUAAUCAAACCAGAAUGAAUCGUGAUGUGAGAAGCUGUAUUUAGAUACAUAAAGUAGUGGAAAAUCACUAGGAAUUUGAAUAAAUCUCAUAGGAGUUAAGAUGAAGAAGUUAUCCCACUUUCAAAUCAUGUGAUCCCAUUUUUCCUAAUUGAGAAUAUGACAACUUCUUCGUCAUUCUAAUCAAACCAGGAUGAAUCGAGAUGUGAGAAGCUGUAUUUUGAUACAUAAAGUAGUGGAGAAUAUCCAGGAAGUUGAAUAAAUCUCAUAGGAGUUAGGAUGAAGAAGUUAUCCCACUUUCAAAUCAGGUGAUCCCAGUUUUUCUGUUUGGGAAUAUGACAACAUCUUUGUCAUUCUAAUCAAACCAGGAUGAAUCGCGACGUUAAAAGCUGUAUUUGGAUACAUAAAGCAAUGGAGAAUCACCAGGAAGUUGAAUAAGUCUCAUAGGGGUUAGGAUGCAGAAGUUAUCUCACUUUCAAAUCAGGCGAUCCUAGUUUACCUGUUUGAGAAUAUGACUACUUCUUUGUCAUUUUAAUCAAACCAGGAUGUAUCGUGAUGUGAGAAGCUGUAUUUGGAUAUAUAAGGUAGUGGAGAUGCACCUGAGUGUUGAAUAAAUCUCAUAGGAGUUUUGAUGAAGAAUUAUCCCACUUUCAAAUCAGGUGAUCCCAGUUUUUCUUUUUGAGAAUAUGACAACUUCUUCGUCAUUCUAAUCAAACUAGGAUGAACUGCGAUGUGAAAUGCUGUCAUUGCAUACAUAAAAUAGUGGAGAAUCACCAUGAAGUUGAAUAAAUCUCAUAGGAGUUAGGAUGAAGAAGUCAUCCCACUUUCAAAUCAGGUGAUCCCAGUUUUCCUGUUUGGAAAUAUGACAACGUCUUUGUCAUUCUAAUCAAACCAGGAUGAAUCGCGAUCUGAGAAGCAGUAUUUUGAUACAUAACGUAGUGGAGAAUAGCCAGGAUGAUGAAUAAAUCUCAUAUAAAUUAGGAUGAAGAAGGUAUCCCACUUUCAAAUCAGGUGAUCCCAGUUUUCGUGUUUGGGAAUAUGACAACUUCAUUGUCAUUCUAAUAAAACCAGGAUGAAUCGCGAUGUGAAAAGCUGUAUUUGGAUACAUAACGUAGGGGAGAAUCACAAGGAAGUUGAAUAAAUCUCAUACGAGUUAGGAUGAAGAAGUUAUCCCAUUUCCAAAUCAGUUGAUCCCAGUUUUUCUGUUUGGGAAUAUGACAACUUCUUUGUCCUUCUAAUCAAACCAGAAUGAAUCGUGAUGUGAGAAGCUGUAUUUAGAUACAUAAAGUAGUGGAAAAUCACUAGGAAUUUGAAUAAAUCUCAUAGGAGUUAAGAUGAAGAAGUUAUCCCACUUUCAAAUCAUGUGAUCCCAUUUUUCCUAAUUGAGAAUAUGACAACUUCUUCGUCAUUCUAAUCAAACCAGGAUGAAUCGAGAUGUGAGAAGCUGUAUUUUGAUACAUAAAGUAGUGGAGAAUAUCCAGGAAGUUGAAUAAAUCUCAUAGGAGUUAAGAUGAAGAAGUUAUCCCACUUUCAAAUCAGGUGAUCCCAGUUUUUCUGUUUGGGAAUAUGACAACAUCUUUGUCAUUCUAAUCAAACCAGGAUGAAUCGCGACGUUAAAAGCUGUAUUUGGAUACAUAAAGCAAUGGAGAAUCACCAGGAAGUUGAAUAAGUCUCAUAGGGGUUAGGAUGAAGAAGUUAUCUCACUUUCAAAUCAGGCGAUCCUAGUUUACCUGUUUGAGAAUAUGACUACUUCUUUGUCAUUUUAAUCAAACCAGGAUGUAUCGUGAUGUGAGAAGCUGUAUUUGGAUAUAUAAGGUAGUGGAGAUGCACCUGAGUGUUGAAUAAAUCUCAUAGGAGUUUUGAUGAAGAAUUAUCCCACUUUCAAAUCAGGUGAUCCCAGUUUUUCUUUUUGGGAAUAUGACAACUUCUUCGUCAUUCUAAUCAAACCAGGAUGAACUGCGAUGUGAAAUGCUGUCAUUGCAUACAUAAAAUAGUGGAGAAUCACCAUGAAGUUGAAUAAAUCUCAUAGGAGUUAGGAUGAAGAAGUCAUCCCACUUUCAAAUCAGGUGAUCCCAGUUUUCCGGUUUGGAAAUAUGACAACGUCUUUGUCAUUCUAAUCAAACCAGGAUGAAUCGCGAUCUGAGAAGCAAUAUUUUGAUACAUAACGUAGUGGAGAAUAGCCAGGAUGAUGAAUAAAUCUCAUAUAAAUUAGGAUGAAGAAGUUAUCCCAAUUUUAAAUCAGGCGAUCCCAUUUUUCCUAAUUGGGAAUAUGACAACUUCUUCGUCAUUCUAAUACAACCAGAAUGAAUCACGAUGUGAAAUACUGUUUUUGGUAUCCCACUUUCAAAUCAGGUGAUCCCAGUUUUCGUGUUUGGGAAUAUGACAACUUCAUUGUCAUUCUAAUAAAACCAGGAUGAAUCGCGAUGUGAAAAGCUGUAUUUGGAUACAUAACGUAGGGGAGAAUCACAAGGAAGUUGAAUAAAUCUCAUACGAGACAACCAGAAUGAAUCACGAUGUGAAAUACUGUUUUUGGAUACAUAAAGUAGUGGAGAUUCACCCAAAAAUUGAAUAAAUUUCAUAGGAGUUAUGAUGAAGAAUUAUCACACUUUCAAAUAAGGUGAUUCCGAUUUUCCUGUUUGAGAAUAUGACUACUUCUUUGUCAUUCUAAUCAAAAUGAAGAAGUUAUCCCACUUUCAAAUCAGUUGAUCCUAGUUUUCCUAUUUGGGAAUAUUACAACUUCUUUGUCAUUCUAAUAAAACCAGGAUAAAUCGCGAUUUGAGAAGCUGUAUUUUGAUACAUUAAGUAGUGGAGAAUAGCCAGGAGAUUGAAUAAAUCUCAUAGGAAUUAUGAUGAAGAAGUUAUCCCACUUUCAAAUCAGGUUAUCCCAGUUUUCAUAUUUCGGAAUAUCACAACUUCUUUGUCAUUCUAAUCAAACCAAGAUGAAUCACGAUGUGAGAAGCUGGAUUUGGAUCCAUAAAGUAGUGGAGAACCACCAAGAAAUUGAAUAAAUCUCAUAGGAGUUAGGAUGAAGAAUUUAUCCCACUUUCAAAUCAGGUGAUCCCAGUUUUCCUGUUUGGGAAUAUGACAAUUUCUUUGUCAUUCUAAUAAAACCCGGAUGAAUCGCGAUCUGAGAAUCUGAAUUUGGAUACAUAAAGUAGUGGAGAAUUACCAGGAAGUUGAAUAAAUCUCAUAGGAGUUAGGAUGAAGAAUUUGUCCCACUUUCAAAUCAGGUGAUCCCAGUUUUCCUGUUUGGGAAUAUGACUACUUCGUUGUCGUUCUAAUGAAACCAGGAUGAAUCGUGAUGUGAAAUCCUGUGUUUCGAUAUAUAAAGCAGUGGAGAAUCACCAAGAAGUUGAAUAAGUCUCAUAGGAGUUAGGAUGAAGAAGUUAUCCUACUUUCAAAUCAGGUUAUCCAAGUUUUCGUAUUUCGGAAUAUGACAACUUCUUUGUCAGUCUAAUCAAACAUAGAUGAAUCGCGAUGUGAGAAGCUAGAUUUGGAUACAUAAAGUAGUGGAGAAUAUCCAGAAAGUUGAAUAAAUCUCAUAGGAGUUAGAAUGAAGAAGGUAUCCCACUUUCAAAUCAGGUGAUCUCAGUUUUCCUUUUUGGGAAUAUGACAACUUCUUUGUCAUUCUAAUCAAACCAGGAUGAAUAGUGAUGUGAGAAGCUGUAUUUGGAUACAUAACGUAGGGUAGAAUCACUAGGAAGUUGAAUAAAUCUUAUAGGAGUUAGGAUGAAGAAGUUAUCCCCCUUUCAAAUUAGUUGAUCCCAGUUUUUCUGUUUGGGAAUAUGACAACUUCUUUGUCAUUCUAAUCAAACCAGGAUGAAUCGCGAUUUGAGAAGUAGUAUUUUGAUACAUAACGUAGUGGAGAAUAGCUAGGAAGUUGAAUAAAUCUCAUAGGAAUUAGGAUGAAGAAGUUAUCCCACUUUUAAAUCAGGCGAUCCCAUUUUUCCUAAUUGGGAAUAUGACAACUUCUUACAAUGCCUUAUCUCCUUCUUGACUGACCCCAAACACCUUCAUGAUUCACCCUAGACCGUACAAGGCCGUACUGAACGCCCUAUCUUUGCACCACACUUCCAUCUUCUCUCUAACUCCUCCAAACCCUUCACAUGAUCAGUCUAAGUCUUUCCUAGACUUAACUUCUCAAGAUAACUACUUAAAAACACUUCUGAAGCUUGAUUGAACUCUUCUGGACAUCUUCUAGAGCUUGCCCUAUUAUUGUACAAGCUCUAUCUUCUCUUCAGUUCAACACUCCCCCUCAAGCUUGACUUUAGGAGAUCCUAAGCCAAGCUUGGAACUCUGAAGAGUCUCCCUCAUUAAAAACCUUACAAGGAAAACCCAUUGGGACAAAACCUUGCAAGGGAAAAAGAGUAGAGCUCUCCAAAGCCUAGGGAUUGGCCAGUGAGCUCUUGUGCCUUAGAACCAGUGUGGUUGGACACAAGAAGCUCUGGAUCACGGCCUAAUAGGUGCAGCAACACUUCUCACCUCUUCAUGGAACCGGUUUGGGACUCCCCCUCUCAACAAGCUUCAUAGCCUUCUUAGAAAGGCAAGGAUGCGACCGGAUCAUCUUUAAACAUCAGUGAGGCUGAGCAAGACUUCAAACUAUGCUUGCCCUCUUCAUAGAACUGGUUUGGAUCUCCCCCUCUCAACAGACUUCACAGCCACCUUAGAGAAGCUAGAAAAUGACCAGGAACAUCUUUAGUGAGGCUCAAGCAAUGGUACCUGAUACAUUAUCCCAAAGGUGCAUCAGUACUUAUCAAGAAACAUCACACAAUCCAUUCAAACAUUUUAAGUAUCAUUUCUAGACUUUGAUUUGAAAUGAUGAAUGUAUUGAAUUGAAUUGAGUUUAGGGACACUUCCCUUUUGUUUUGGUGAGUUCCCACUCGGCCAUUGCACCAUCUCCAUGGCAUCAUCAACUUCUUGGAAAGGCAGAAUGAAUUCAUCAGCUUCUCAUCAAUCACUUCACCAUAGAAGCCGCUUUGAUGAGUUCACUUUCUUCCUUAAACUGCCUAGAAUAGCUCCGGCUGAUGAUCCUUUGUAGGAGCCUUUGCAAAGACUUGUUACUGACCAUGGAUCAUAUGCAUUAAGACUCCCCCUCAAGCUUAGAACCGAGACUAGAAGGAGCUAAGCUUGUGAUGAUCCUAUGCAUCUCCAUGGUCUAAUAACUAUCAUCUUUCAUGAUAGCUUUCUUCUUGUGAGUUUACUCUCUUCCUUAACCAGGAACAAGGGUGUUUGAAUCACCAUAGAGAGCCUCACAAGACACACUUCUCAUUGCAUAAUGACCCAUGCUACACUUCCUGUAGACUUUGGACUGGAUAUUUCCAAUGGUAUUAUGCAAUGGCCAUCUCUCAUUGCAUAAUCAAUCACACUACACUUCCUGUAGAUUAUGGACUAACAUGUCCUAGUGAUGAUAUGCAAUGGCACUAGACCUUUGUCUCUACAUUCUUGGCUGUUGGCGAGUUACAUGUAUCACACUCCUUGUGUACCUAACACCACCACAACUCAAUGCAAGAUCAGAUCAUCCCAUUGGGAUCAAACUAAGAUCAUUCAUCCUGUUUGAUCACCAAUGCCACAGCAAUAUAUAAUACUUGAAACAAGCCAGACAAUCAAGGCAAGAACAAGUAGAUUUCAAUCUCUAAAAUGACAAUGCAAGCUCUAAACAAUACAUUGACAUUCUAGGUUCUUUUUUUUUUUUUAAGUUCUCUAAAUGCAAUGCAAGCUUACAUCAGUACAUUUGCAAUUUAGGUUCAUUUUUAAAUGCAUCACUACAUGUAUGCACAAUCUUAAAGCAUUAGCUAUAUGAAUGCAACAGGUUCAAUCCAUGAGCAAUAUUAAAGCUAUGCACAACAGUUUCAAUCAAAACCAAUGAUGCAAGCAACUUAGACAAUUUCUAAUUGAUGCUAGACUUUCAUUAAUGGAUUAAACAUAGGCAUUAGCAUCAGACCACAUUAGGAUUGAACUUAGACAGUAUGAGACAUGCUUAUGUAUGCAAAACAGCUUAUCAAUCAUGAUGCAAGCAGCAGAGACAUUCUACUCAAUUCUACAACACAUUCAUGAUGAUUCAAGCUAUGGCAACACACAAGACAAUGCAAUAAACAAAACAUGAGAUUCUGGGACUCUAGACACCACUCACAGCACAAUAAAUAAAGACACAAGCUCUUAUUAAGGGUUAGGAGGUUUGCUUACAACCAAGAGAUCCGAGCUGAUCUCUUGAACCUCCAUGGACACGGCUCACUUGAACUUGGCAGGUUUGAGGCUUGGAUUCAGUAUCCAACACCUCUCCUUGGUGUGUCCAUCCCUCUUGCAAUGCUCACACCUCAGGCCUCUUCUAUCCCCCUUCUUGUACACCGUUUUCAUGGGCUGAGAGCUUCCUUCAGCGUGUGAGGCAAAGGUAAGUGCUUCCUUUGCUCCAAACAAUCCGUGUGAGCCCUCCUCCUUUUGGACUUGAGCACACACCUCUUCAAGGGUAGGUAGCUUCUCAGACCUCAAUAGGUGUUUGAUGAGGCCGCUGAAGGUGGGACUGAGAGUUAGGAGCAGCCCAAACACUUUAUCUUGCUCCCUUCUUUCAGUCAACACAUCCGGCUCAAAUGAUUGAGGUCUAAGCAUCUCUAGCUCAGACCAAAGGGCUCUGAACUUUCCUAGAUGAGUAGUGAACUCCUCUUCUUCUUGGGACAUGUUGUUGAUGGCCUUCUUGAUCUCAAAGAAUCGGCUGAGGUUGGACAGGUUCCCAUAGAUCUUCUUAAGUGUACUCCAAAGCUCUUUAGCACUCUCACAGUAGGAGUAGGCUUCAAGAAUGGAUGGAUCCAAGGAGCUUUGGAGUAUGGAGAGGACAGUGAGGUCUUCUUGUAGCCAUCUGUCUUCAGAGACCGGUUUGGAACUUGCUUCACCUUCAGCUUGUAACUUUGGAGUGGUUUGGAGCAUCUAAGAUGUAAUGGCUCCAUAAACCCUUUCCUCCUAUGGUUGUCUUGGCUAGGCGUGACCAGAGAAGGUAGUUUGGGCCUUUGAGAGUGACUGGGAUGACAAUGGCUCUUUUGGACUCCAUCUUGAGGCUGGAAAGAGCAAAACUGUCAAGGAACUUCUUCAAAGGCUGGCGCUUGGGAGCUGAGUGAACUGAGCUGAACUGGCGUGGGCUGGAGCUUGUGUUUGUUGCGGAAGCUUCUACCAGGAGUCUGAGCAACCUGGCUCUGAUACCAUGUGAGAUUUUCAGAGUACAAGUGCUUGAGUGAUGUAAGAACACAUGAGAGAUUUGUGUAUGAUGAAGUAUGAAGAAUAGAAAUGAGUUUAAGAGAAUCAGAGAGAGUAUGAGAGAGACUAAGAGAUUAGGAACGUGUAUGGGAGAUUAGAGAGACUUAGUAACCAGAGAAUAAGAUCCAAGAACAAGUUUAUGAAGAAGAGAGACUCUCUCAGCUUAAGGGUUACAAAAUGAUCCUAAGAGGCUUAUUUAUGCCUUUACACAACUCAGAUCAUAAACCUAGAUCCUAAGGCUGUAAAUUAAAGAUAAAUGGAUGGUUAGGAUGAGAGGAAGCUGGUCUUUGAUGUUCUGGUGCUAGCUGGUCGUGGUUGGACUGAAUGGAGGGCUUAGAUUGCUUCAUUUGAAUUGGAUGGAUCAGAUGAGUCAAGGCUGUAAAGGUAAAGCACCUUUACCUUUCCAGCUCAUACCAACAGCUCACCUUAUCCAUUUGAUUCUUCCUUUGCCUCCAAGACUCCCCAACGGACACUAUAGGAAAGGAUAGGAUCAGAGUGAACCGCCCUCACAUUGCACAUCUUGAUUUGGGCUGAACCGGAUGACUUGGGCGUGUGGAGUGGCCGUACGGUUGAUGGUACGGACCUCCUGUCCGUACCACUAUCCCUAACUUUACACAAUGACUUAUCUCCUUCUUGACUGACCCCAAACACCUUCAUGAUUCACCCUAGACCGUACAAGGCCGUACUGAACGCCCUAUCUUUGCACCACACUUCCAUCUUCUCUCUAACUCCUCCAAACCCUUCACAUGAUCAGUCUAAGUCUUUUCUAGACUUAACUUCUCAAGAUAACUACUUCAGAACACUUCUGAAGCUUGAUUGAACUCUUCUGGACAUCUUCUAGAGCUUGCCCUAUUAUUGUACAAGCUCUAUCUUCUCUUCAGUUCAACAGCAGCUUCCCAAGGAACAUCAUUGGCGCAUGGUGGAGAGGCUGUUGAUGUAUCUGAAUGGCUCGCCUGAUCAAGGAGUAUGGAUGGGGUGCAAUGGAAGCACUGAAGUGGUGGGCUAUUGUGAUGCAGAUUGGGCAGGAGAUAGAGCUGAUAGGAGAUCAACAACCGGCUAUUGCACAUUUAUUGGAGGCAACUUGGUGACUUGGAAGAGUAAGAAACAGAAGGUGGUGUCAUGCUCAAGUGCAGAAGCUGAGUAUAGAGCUAUGCUGAAGCUUACAAACGAGCUAGUUUGGAUCAAGGGCAUCUUGAAGCAUUUGUAGAUAGAACAAGUCACUCUAAUGACAAUGCAUUGUGACAACCAAGCCGCCAUUCACAUAGCCUCCAACUCGGUGUUCCAUGAGAGGACAAAGCACAUUGAGGUUGAUUGCCACAAGGUGAGGCAGAUGAUUGUCCUAGGAGUCAUCUUGCCAUGUUAUACUAAGAGUGAAGAUCAGUUGGCUGAUGUAUUCACCAAGGCUGCAAGGCAAAAGACAAUGGAGUCCACUCAUAUCAGAUUGGGCCUCAUUGAUCUUAGGAAGAGAGGUAGCUGAUCCCCUUAGUCAUGAGAUCUUUACUCUUUUUCCCUCAUCAAGGUUUUAUCCCAAUGGGUUUUCCUUGGUGAGGUUUUUAAUGAGGAAGAUCUCAUGGCUGUCCAAGCUUAGGCUUUCACAAAGCUAAGCUUGAGGGGGAGUGUUGAGAUGAGCUGAGUAUAUGGAUAUGAAGAGAUAAGGAGUUGAAGAGAAGAGGAGAUGAAGUACUUAGGGAAGUUUGGGAGAGUAUGGUACGGCUGGCCGUACAAGGCCGUACAAGGCCGUACAAGCCGUACCAUCCAAACCUCAACCAAAACUUACCAUACCCUAUCCAAGUGAGACGGUAACUAAGGAGGAGUGACUUGGGUAGCUUAGGGAGUUGGAUCAGACCGUUGAGAGGAUAAGGCAAGAGCGUGCCAGGCUGGAACAGGCUGUAAAGAGCUGAAGCAUGUGAGCCAUCCUGACCAAUCAUUCAAAAGGCGCCCCUUGACUCCACACGGUUCAAUAGUGCCCAUUUCCCUUCUUGUAAACCCUUGUGUCUCUCUUAUAAAUAUGUAACCUCACUCAUUAAUAAAAUCAAGCAGUUUGAGUCUUUCUCUUAGUCUUUAAUCUCAAUGGUUACAUAUUAGAUUCAUAAUCUCAUUUCAUACUCUAAUCUUCUGUAAAUCGAUUCUAUUCUUCUCUAAACACUCAGAUUACUCUAAAAAACACUAAAAGUGUUAACCCUAUCCAAGUGAGACGGUAACUAAGGAGGAGUGACUUGGGUAGCUUAGGGAGUUGGAUCAGACCGUUGAGAGGAUAAGGCAAGAGCGUGCCAGGCUGGAACAGGCUGUAAAGAGCCAAAGCAUGUGAGCCAUCCUGACCAAUCAUUCAAAAGGCGCCCCUUGACUCCACAAGGUUCAAUAGUGCCCAUUUCCCUUCUUGUAAACCCUUGUGUCUCUCUUAUAAAUAUGUAACCUCACUCAUUAAUAAGAUUAAGCAAGUUUUUGAGUCUUUCUCUUAGUCUUUAAUCUCAAUGGUUCCAUAUUAGACUCAUAAUCUCAUUUCAUACUCUAAUCUUCUUUAAAUCAAUUCUAUUCUUCUCUAAACACUCAGAUUACUCUAAACAUUACUAAAAGUGAUAUGGUAUCAGAGCCAGGUUAGUGAGAACCUGAGUUCGUGGUAGGCUCUUUGGAGAUUCAAGAUUGAAGCUUUAAAGAGUUUGGUUGGUGUUCUUGCGUUCUUGGGAGGCUCUGGGUAUUGUUCGAGUUCAAAGACUAGUUUUUAGUGUGUUGCUGAAGCUGUGAGGUUGAAGACCGAGGCAGUGAGUGUUCUUACAAGUCUUUUAACUCAAGAUCCAGUUUGUGAAGUCUAGAGAAGUCAUCGUUCAUCAUGGAGAGCGGUAUGAACAUGAACAUGAAGGUAGCGGUUUGCUUCAAGGGAACCAACUACUUGGUGUGGUCUCGGAUGGUGAGAACCACGGUGGGAAGCAAAGGGCUUUGGAAGCACAUCACGCCAGGAGAGGCUCCAAAGCUCAUCACCCAAGGAGAAACUGAAGGAGAAGCCGCAAGCAAAGCGGAAGAGAAGUGGCAUCAGGAGGACAUGUUGGUAAUGUCAGUGCUGCAUGCUUCACUUGAGCCGGCGAUUCUAGAUGCAUACAGCUACUGUGAGUCUGCUAAAGAGCUGUGGGAUACGUUGAAGAAGGUGUAUGGGAAUACAUCAAACCUGAGCCGUGUGUUUGAGGUGAAGCAGGCUAUAAACAACUUGGUACAAGAGGAUAUGGAGUUCACCAAGCAUCUAGGGAGGUUCAGAACACUCUGGUCCGAGCUGGAGAUGUUGAGGCCAAGCACUACAGAUGCAGAUGAGCUCAACAAAAGGAGAGAGCAAGACAAGGUCUUUGGGCUACUCCUCACCAUGAAUCCGGCUUACAAUGGUCUUAUCCAACACUUGCUUAGAGAAGACACACUACCUGAUCUUGAAGAAGUGUGCGCAAGGAUUCAGAAGGAACAGGGCUCCAUUGGGUUGUUUGGAAAGAAAGGAGAGCUAUCUCUCGUGAAUCAAGCAACUCAAGAGGAGGGAGGGGAAGCUCCACAAGCACACAAGGCUGCGCAUGGGAAGUAUGAUGAGAGGAGGUUCAAUGGGAACUGUGAUCACUGCAAGAAGCAUGGCCACAAGAAGAGCCAAUGCUGGAUACUCCAUCCCCAUCUCAAGCCGGCAAAGUUUAUGAAGGACAGAGAGGCAAGGCUAAUGUCUCAGAUGGAGCAAGCGCAAGUGGAGUGGGUACUAGCAAAGGGAAGGAGAUAGAUGGGCGUGAAGCAGGUGAUGGGAGGUCUCUUGUAGCCUACACUGGAGCCCCAAGCAAUCGUGGGAACUAUGAUCAAGAGUAUCUAAAGAAAUCCGACCUGGAUGCUCCCAUUAAGCUCUUCAAGGAGCAUGGUAACACUUUUGAGUAUUCCUUUGGUGCUAGGGCUAUAGAGAAUGAUGAGAAUCCAACUAGAAUUGAUAGGAUGCAUGAAAGUGUGAUAGAGAUAAUAAAUCAAUCUAGAACGGCUAGUUUUGCUAGGAAUGAUCAUGCAUUCAAACUGUUGACUUGAAGAAAGAAAUGGAGCCAAAGGAGGAGUUGGGUUGAGUUUGGGUCUUGAGCGAGAAUGGGGCAAGACCUCCAAAGAUUGUCUAUCAAGGCUUUAGGAGUGUUUAGGAGUGUCCAGAAGUAUCCAAAUGAGGUGUGCAAAGUUAGGGUCAAGUCCAGGAGGGACUUAGACAUACUUAGACACCAUUUGGAGUCAGUUGGGUGAUGGUGCAGAAAUAGGGUCGAGCAUCGGUACGGACGGUACGGACCGUACGAACUUAGGGCGACCAAGAUGAUGUUCAGACUCAACCAUUUGAGAAGAUUGGGAGUUGGUGCAAAAAUAGGGAGAGGUACGGACAGACGGUCCGUACCAUCGACCGUACUUGUUCCGGAUCAACCUGAAAUGAAGCUGUGCAAACUUAGGGCGCAAGAGAAGACAAACCUGAGUUAUCUUGUGACUGUUUGUGGAUAAGGGAGAGCUAGGGCGUGGUCAAUGACAGGCUGUCUUUCAGCUGUAAAGGAAAAGCAGCCUUGACCAUGUAUCUAGCCAUCUUUGUGAACAAGAUUCAUGGGAGCCUUAAGGGAACCAAUCAGGAGCCAGCCCUUGCUUUGACCUGUUUGAAUCAACCAAUCAGCAUCCAUCACGUCCUCAGCAACCCACCAGACUCCAUCCUAGCCAUCCAUUUCAAUUCAGUCAUUUCUAUCCAUUAGAUUAAGGGUUUAUGAGUUUGCAAUGUGAAAAGCUUAUAAAUAAGCUAUGUAUGGACGUUUUUGUGUCUCUUAAGAGAGAGAGAGGGGGAUUUCCCCUCCUCCUUCAUAAUACAAAGUGUGUUCUUGGAUAAGAAUCCCUCAAACUACCCCUUUCUUAUACUUAAAUCUCUUAAUCUUUCUAAAUCUCUUGUUUCUGUCCAAGUUCAUACUGUUCUUCAUCAGACCUUUCUCUCUUCAGUUCAAGCUCUCAUUUCGCCCUUAGUUAUUGAGAUGAAGACCAAGGAGGCUGAGACAGUAACUUUAGAGUUUUACUGUGGUUACUUUAUUCUAACCACAGUAACUACUUGGGGAAGUUAUCUGAUGGGAUGAGAAGGUAACUUAGUGAAGAGAGGAGAGGAAACUCGACCAAAGAGGAUAAGGGAGGAUAAGGAAGGAUAAGGGAGCACUUUGACAGCCUGUAUGAUGCUGGAAAGGAGAGGAUGCUUUUACAUUAGUGCAAGCAUGUGAGAAAGCACAGCCAAGUGAUUCAAAAGGAGUUCCAGCCUGUCCUUUGACUACACAUGCUUAUCCAUUUCGAAAAUCCUUGUUGCUCUCUCUAUUAAUACUUGUAAACCUCAUCAGAUAUUAAUUAAAGGAGUUUUGAGUCUCUCUCUUUAUUCUCUCACUAAAAUCUCUUAAUCUCUUUAAUCUUUUCAUCUGAUUAUCCCUGAUUGGUUGAAUCAUGCUCUAAUACACAAAAGUGUAUAUGGUAUCAGAGCCAGGUUGCGCAAAGUGGGAGAGUGUGAUUCCUUUUUCUUAAAAAUCUUGAGUGUUCUUGAGGGUUAUUGAGUGUUCUUGGUGUUCUUAACUUCUGGGUUUCAUUAUCUUGGUGGCGUGAGAGUUUCUGGUGAAUCCAAAUCAUCUCAACAUGGAAAUGGAGCACAGACCUGAGUUAACUGUGAAGACUGAAGAGGUGAGGCAUGGCGAGUGGUCAAGGUGGGCCAAAAGAGCUUUGGAAAGCUGUGGGUUAUGGAGCAGUCAUGGAAAGGAGAAGCCUUUACAAGAGAUGACUGCAAAUGAAGGUCAGGCGUGGAGCCUGAGGUCUGAAGAAAGAGCUGUUCAAGGAAACCACACAAGAUGUGAGAUUGGAGCAGUUUGUGGGAGUAGAUCUGGUCUGAAGAAGGUCUGUGAGGUCAAGGGAACUCGCAGCAGUCUUAAAAGAAGAGCAUAAGAACUUCAUCAGCUUGUGGGAAAGCUGAAAUACCUGUGGAAGGAGUUAAGUGUCUUGAGAACAAGGGCAUCAGACCCGGAGAUGAUACAAAAGAGGUUGGAGCAAGAUGUUGUCUUGAGUUUUCUAGUCAGCUUAAACUCAUCUUAUGGUCAGCUGAUUAUGCAAGUGAUCAAAGGUGAAGAGCAAGCAGAUGUGGAUGGGUUGUGUGACUUGAUUCAAGCAGCUUAUGAUGUUCAUGAGAAGAACAAGAAGCGGAUCAAGAGGAGGAAUGGUACAAAGUGUACGAGAGCAAGCCUGAGGAGAUUGUCCAAGAUAUGGAUCCGAGGAAGAAAGAUUAGGAUGAAGAGGAGACAACUUGAGGUGGAACUGGAAGUGAUCAAGGAGAUUCAGCAACUGAUGGUGAUGGGAGAAUGCUCCUACUCAGCAUACAUGGGAGAAACAGUAGGAGACAGUGCGGAUAUGAGAGGAAUGGAUACCAAGAGGGCAGAUGAGUGUGUGACAAAGAAGGAAUGGGAUGAGUUGAUUAAGCGUGUGUAUGCUUUGGCUACAACCCGUAGUCUGGGUGCUCCUGCCAAAGCAUCCACAUCUAAACCCAUCAUCAUUGACUCUGGAGCAACACACCACAUGAUCAGUGACAAGAGACUAAUCAGUGAGGUUAAAGCAGCAACAGGGAGUGUCAUGAUAGCCAAUGGUACCAGGAUCCCAAUAGAAGGAGUGGGAAACCUCAAGCUGUUUGAGAAGAACUCCACUGCCUUCUACCUACCUCAGUUUACAUCCAAUCUAAUCUCAGUUAAGAAGGCUACAGUUGAUCUGAAUUGUCAAGUGGUUAUCAGACCAAAUGAAGUUGAGUUCCAGGAUUUGAAGACUGGAAGGGUUAUUGGCAGAGGAGACAGCAAGCAUCAGCUCUAUCAUCUCCAAACAACUGAGGCGUCUAGUCCUGUGGGGUCUGUGUGUUUAAGCAGCACAACGGUUAGGUGUGAUAAUCUCACAUGGCAUGCAAGGCUGGGACAUCCUCAUGCCAAGGCAAUUGAACUGAUUCUACCAAGUAUGGCGUUCAAUCACUUGGAGUGUGAAGCUUGUAUACUUGGAAAGCACUGUAGGACUGUCUUCCCAACAUCAGAAACCAGAUAUGAGAAUUGCUUUGAUCUGGUGCAUUCAGACGUGUGGACAGCUCCCUGUAUAUCUAGAGACAGCCAUAAAUACUUUGUGACAUUCAUUGAUGAGAAGUCAAAGUACACAUGGAUCACCAUGAUUCCCUCCAAAGACAGAGUCCUAGAAGCCUUCAUGAACUUCCAAGCAUAUGUUACUAACCAGUACAAUGCCACUGUGAAGAUUCUGAGGUCUGAUAAUGGAGGAGAAUACACUAGCAAUGCUUUCAAGAGUCAUCUUGCAAAGCAUGGGAUUGUGCAACAAACUAGCUGUCCUUACACACCACAACAAAAUGGGGUGGCUGAGAGGAAGAACAGACAUUUGAUGGAGGUUGCGAGAUCAAUAAUGUUCCACAUGAAUGUCCCUAAGAGGUUUUGGAGUGAUGCUGUCCAGACCGCUUGCUAUCUCAUCAAUAGAGUGCCAACCCGUGUCUUGAAGAAACUGUCUCCCUUUGAAGUAUUGAACAAGACCAAGCCACACAUUGAUCAUUUGAGUGUCUUUGGGUGCUUAUGUUAUGUGAUGAUUCCCGGAGAAAGAAGAACAAGCUAGAAGCAAAGAGUACUAAAGCUAUGUUCAUUGGGUACUCAAUCACUCAGAAAGGCUACAAAUGUUAUGAUCCAAUAACUAGGAGGGUUAUGGUAUCUAGAGAAGUGAAGUUUGUUGAGUCUAAAGGGUAUUAUGAGGAGAAGAAAUGGGAAGACCUAGAGGAUCUGUCCCGAGCUCCAUCAGAGAAGGCAACAACAUUGAGAGUGUUGUUGGAGAGGCUAGGGAUAGGAUUAUCCCAAGAUCAGGAACCAGGAAGAACAGGACCUUCUAAUCAAGCUGGAGAAGCUGGAGGAACAACCCCUCUUGAUCAUGAGAGGGGGAAUGGAUCUGAAUCAGGGGAGCAGGAGCAUUACCAAGAGGAUUCAGGUCAGCAUGAUCAGGAGGAGACACAGGAAGUAGAGAAUGUUGCUCAGUCUAGUGGAGAUGAGCAAGGAGAGUCUACUGGUACAAAAGAGAGUGAAGCUCAGUCAGGUGGAAAUGAGCAGGGAGAACCUACUGUUUUAAGAGAAGAAGCACAAGAGAAUGUUCAGGCUGAAGAACAGGUUGAGACCUUGCGGAGGAGCACAAGGAUAAGGAGGGAUCCUUCCAACUGGGUAAACACAAGAGUGUACUAUAAUGCCCAGGUUGUGGAGCAUCCCUCUCAAGCCGUGUGUUCCUUUGCUGAGUUUCCGGAGGAGCAUUAUGCCUUUAUGGUAAGUCUAGAUGAGAGCUAUGUUCCGAGAAGCUAUGAAGAAGCUAUGGUGAUUCAAGAAUGGAGGGAUUCAGUGAAUGAUGAGGCUGAUGCUAUGAUCAGAAAUGAUACAUGGUAUGAGAGUGAGCUACCAAAAGGAAAGAGAGCCGUGUCUAGCAGAUGGAUCUUUACUAUCAAAUACUUGCCUAAUGGACAGAUUGAUAGGAGAAAAACUAGACUGGUAGCAAGGGGGUUCACACAGACAUAUGGAGAGGAUUACAUUGACACGUUUGCACCACUAGCCAAGCUUCAUACUAUCCGGAUUGUGUUGUCUAUUGCAACAAACUUGGAGUGGGAUUUGUGGCAGAUGGAUGUGAAGAAUGCUUUCCUGCAAGGUGAGCUAGAAGAUGAGGUAUAUAUGCUUCCACCUCCUGGUCUUGAGCAUCUAGUGAAGCCAAGAAAUGUCUUGAGAUUGAAGAAGGCUAUAUAUGGGCUGAAGCAGUCUCCUAGAGCUUGGUACAGAAAGCUUAGUACAACUCUCAAUGGGAAAGGGUUCAGGAAGUCUGAACUAGAUCAUACACUCUUCACACUGGUUGGACCAUCAGGGAUCAUAGUAAUUUUGGUGUAUGUGGAUGAUUUGAUUAUCACAGGGAGUGAUAAGGCUGGGAUUAAAGCCACAAAAGAGUUUCUCAAGUCUGUGUUUGAUAUUAAAGACUUGGGAGAGAUGAAGUAUUUUUUGGGGAUUGAGAUAUGCAGAUCUAAGGAGGGUUUGUUUAUGUCUCAAAGGAAGUAUACUAUGGAUAUGCUGAAGGAGGCUGAUGUGCUUGGAGGAAAGAUAGCUAAGACACCUCUUGAGGAAGGGUAUAAGGUCUUGCGUGAGGGGGAGGUUGAAGAGAACCAGUUGUUUGAGGAUGCUAAGUUGUAUAGGAGGAUGGUGGGUAAGCUGAUCUACUUGACUAUCACCAGACCUGAUAUAUGCUUUGCUGUGAAUCAAGUGAGCCAACAUAUGCAGGCGUCAAAGGUACAUCACUGGAAGAUGGUUGAUAGGAUACUGAGGUAUUUGAGUGGCUCGCAUGGACAAGGAGUUUGGAUGGGUUGCAAUGGCAGUACAGAAGUGGUUGGGUAUUGUGAUGCUGAUUGGGCAGGAGAUAGAGUGGACAGUGUUAACUUGAAGAGUAGAAGUGGAGAAGCAAAGGAUGAGAGUUGAGUUGAGAAUGGUGCAAAGAUAGGGCAAGAGCUUAAGAGAUUGCCUAUCAAGAGUUAUGAAGUGUCUUAAGAUAGCUAGAAGUCUCUUAUGGUGGUUCUAAGCAAGGGCAAAGUCUAGGAAAGACUUAGAAGAGUGUUGAGGAGCAAAUGGACGAGUGUGCAAAGAUAGGGCAAGGCCGGUACGGCCAUGUACGGACACAGUACGGAUCUGUACUGAUGGUGGACGUACUAGAUGGAGCAUACUCGGCCAUUUGUGAGUCUUAGGCUUGGUGCAAACUUAGGGUAUCAGUGUACGGACAUGGCAUGAUCCGUACAUGCUCUAAUGUUUGUGAUCAACCUAACUUGAGUCUCAAGGAAGAAGAGACUCGUGUGGCUUCAUGUAUAAAGGAGCCAUGAGGAUAUUCAAAUCCAAGAAGGGCGCGGAUGUCUUUAGCCUUCUCUUGUUACCGUUUGGAGAUAAGACAGGCUGGCUGUGCAAGCUGUCCAUGAGCUGUGCUUUGACUAUGUAUCUAGACAGAUACAUGGCAAGAUGAAGUGAAGCCUUAAAGCAUCCAAUCACACGCUAAAGAGAGACCAGCCAAUAAGAAGAACUAUCAUGAAGAUAAAGACUAGCAUAACUCUCUCCAUCUCAACCAUCCAAACUCCAAGAAGAUUAUGAGCCAUUAGAUUUAGGUUUUAUGUUAUUGCAAAUGUAAAAGCCUAUAUAAAGCUCAUAAUGUCGAUUGUAAACUCUUAAGAGAGUAUGGGGGGUUUCCCCAUCUCCUUCAUAAUUAUAAAAGUGUGUUCUUGAUCAGAUUCCCUUAAUCUCCCCUUUCUUAGUCUCUAAUCUCUUAAUCUCUCAAAGUCUCUUUGUUUCUGAUUCAAGUUCAUACUAGUUUCAUCAGACCUCUUAUUCAACUAGUUCAAGACCUUAUCUUUGCCUUUAAUGGCUUUUCAUACACAUACACAGCCAGAGCUCUCAAAUCUCACAUGGUAUCAGAGCCAGGUUCAUCAGAACCUGAGCUGAAGCUUCCGCAAACACACUGCUCUCUCCUCAGCUCAAAUCCAAACCAUAGAAGCUCUCUCCAUCCGGUUCAGCUUCUUAUAAAGAAGAAGACUGAAGCUUGGCGAGUUCUCAUGGUUCCUCAUCCUGUUCUCUUCCUGUCCUGGUGGUGAUUCUCAGUGGAAGCAAAUGUGUAUGGACAAGGCCUAGCUAUCCUUGUACCAAGGCGCCUUGUCCAAGAGAAGAUCACAUCCGGUUCCAAAGAAGAUGGUGUCAAGAGCUUGGCGCCUAGUGGAGAUGAAGAAAGGAGGGGUCUUUGAAGCUGAUGGUACAAGAUGGAGGCCAUGAACAGAAGGUGAAAGAGGUGGGUGACGAUCCAAACUCUCAAGACCAACAAAGCAUGGCCGGUUUCAUGAAAGGUUAAGGAACCAACCUGGUUCCUUGUGUAAGCGAUUCUUUAAAACCUUCUUGAUAUUGAGCUUGUGGUGUGACUGUGCCUGGUUAUUGUGAUGUGUAUUGAUUGAAAAACCUGAGUAUAAUGUGUGAUUACUAAAUAAAAUUAGUUGAAUCUGUCCCAGGAUGCUUUAAAGGCUUGUUUAGUGUUUAAAGAGUAAAAUGCUUGCUCCUGUUAAGAAAUGAGUUUGCUAAAUGAAAUGGUAUUGUUUGAAGCUCAUGAACUGAAAACAGAUUGAAAGUAAUGCAUUGUCUGAUGAUAAGUGAUGACAGUAAUGCUUAGCCUAAGUUAUAAAUGAAUGUGUGAUGGAUUGUAUUGUUGCAUUCAUGAAUUGAAACUGAUUAAGGUUAGUGCAUACUGUCAAAUGGCUGUCUUACAUUGAAGCAUUAGAUUCAUGUCUAAAUGCUGAGUAAAGAAGCUUUAAAAAUUGCCUAAGUAGCUUGUAUUGAAUCUUUUAGGAUCAUGCUAGUGCUUAGAGAGUUUGCUUGCAAAGAUUAGAACUUGAAAAUGUCUAGUUUAAUCUGUUGCAUUGCUUAAAGACAUUGGUGUUCAAACUUGAUGAUGCAUCAAGGGUUGACCCAAUGCACUUGUGUCUUAUCUUUGCUGGAGUUUGAGUGAUGUUUCAGGUUCACAAGAGGUGUUCUUGGUUCACCAUCCAUCCGAGUUGAAAGAGGAAGACUUUGCCCAUUGUGUGGAGCAAUGGAGAGUUGAGAAAGAAGUGGUGAUGCGCCACUGGUGUGAAGUCUCACUGAAGCUCACUUGCAAGCUUGGACCUAUACUCAAUCCAAGCUUGAGGAGGGGAGUUUAGUGAGCUAUCAGUCGGACCAAGAAGGUUCAGAAGGUCCAUUGCAAGCAACUGAAGAAGAAGGAGCCAUCCGGGUCUAGGCAGUGGCGUGUCUAGGCAAGAGAGUGUUCAGAGCACUCUUGGCUGUGAGAAGAUGAAGACUCUAUCAGUGCGGCUUCUAGUGUGAGGUGGCUGAAGAGGUAGCUGAAGCUUCCACAAGCACUCCAUGAAGAUGGCGAGUUCAGAAGGUGUUGCAAUGGAGUAAUGGUACAGAUCAUGAAGCUAUCCAUCCAAGCUUGUUCCUGUGACAGUCUCAAGCUUGAGGGGGAGUGUUGAAGCUUACAUGAUCUGAGAGUACUUGGUGGUUAUUCAAGAAGAGGAGCAGAUCAGUUAUGAAGCUUAAUGAAGGAUGAAGAAGCAAUCACCAAUGCGGCCUCUAGAGUGAGGUGAUUGGUACUACAGUCUGAAGCAUCCUGUCAUGAAGGUUUCAGUAACAUGGUGGUGACUCAUGAAGAAGAAGCAGCCAAGACUCAGCUUGUAUCUAUCAAGGAAGAUCUGGUAGUCCGAUCACUUGAUCACAACAAGAAGGUUGUGAGAAAGGGGGAGAGACCAAGAUCUGUCUAAAGAAGAGUACAAGAAGUGUUGAUGAUGAGCAAGAGGAGUGGGUUCUAUCUUGCAUCAUAUGAGGGCCAUGAUCCAGAGUCUUUGUGUCCCUUACAUUGUUGGUAAGGCACAAAGACUCACUGGCCAAUCCCUAGGCCUUGGAGGCUUUACUCUUUUUCCCUCAUCAAGGUUUUGUCCCAAAGGGUUUUCCUUGGUGAGGUUUUUAAUGAGGAAGUUCUUCAAGGUUCCAAGCUUGACUUAGGAUCAACUAAAGUCAAGCUUGAGGGGGAGUGUUAACUUGAAGAGUAGAAGUGGAGAAACAAAGGAUGAGAGUUCAGUUGAGAAUGGUGCAAAGAUAGGGCAAGAGCUUAAGAGAUUGCCUAUCAAGAGUUAUGAAGUGUCUUAAGAUAGCUAGAAGUCUCUUAUGGUGGUUCUAAGCAAGGGCAAAGUCUAGGAAAGACUUAGAAGAGUGUUGAGGAGCAAAUGGACGAGUGUGCAAAGAUAGGGUAAGGCCGGUACGGCCAUGUACGGACACAGUACGGAUCUGUACUGAUGGUGGACGUACUAGAUGGAGCAUACUCGGCCAUUUGUGAGUCUUAGGCUUGGUGCAAACUUAGGGUAUCAGUGUACGGACAUGGCAUGAUCCGUACAUGCUCUAAUGUUUGUGAUCAACCUAACUUGAGUCUCAAGGAAGAAGAGACUCGUGUGGCUUCAUGUAUAAAGGAGCCAUGAGGAUAUUCAAAUCCAAGAAGGGCGCGGAUGUCUUUGGCCUUCUCUUGUUACCGUUUGGAGAUAAGACAGGCUGGCUGUUCAAGCUGUCCAUGAGCUGUGCUUUGACUAUGUAUCUAGACAGAUACAUGGCAAGAUGAAGUGAAGCCUUAAAGCAUCCAAUCACACGCUAAAGAGAGACCAGCCAAUAAGAAGAACUAUCAUGAAGAUAAAGACUAGCAUAACUCUCUCCAUCUCAACCAUCCAAACUCCAAGAAGAUUAUGAGCCAUUAGAUUUAGUUUUUAUGUUACUGCAAAUGUAAAAGCCUAUAUAAAGCUCAUAAUGUCGAUUGUAAACUCUUAAGAGACUAUGGGGGGUUUCCCCAUCUCCUUCAUAAUUAUAAAAGUGUGUUCUUGAUCAGAUUCCCUUAAUCUCCCCUUUCUUAGUCUCUAAUCUCUUAAUCUCUCAAAGUCUCUUUGUUUCUGAUUCAAGUUCAUACUAGUUUCAUCAGACCUCUUAUUCAACUAGUUCAAGACCUUAUCUUUGCCUUUAAUGGCUUUUCAUACACAUACACAGCCAUAGCUCUCAAAUCUCACAGACAGGAGAUCAACUACUGGGUAUUGUACAUUCAUUGGAGGGAAUUUGGUUACUUGGAAGAGUAAGAAGCAGAAGUUCAUCUCCUGUUCAAGUGCUGAAGCUGAGUAUAGAGCUAUGUUGAAGCUCACAAAUGAGUUGGUGUGGAUCAAGGGUAUUUUGAAGCACUUGGAGAUCGAGCAGACCAAACCUAUGACAAUGCAUUGUGACAAUCAAGCAGCUAUCCACAUUGCCUCCAAUUCAGUAUUUCAUGAGAGAACAAAGCACAUAGAAGUGGAUUGUCAUAAGGUGAGGCAGAUGAUUAUCUUGGGAGUGAUUCUGCCAUGCUAUACAAGAAGUGAAGAUCAGCUUGCAGAUGUGUUUACUAAGGCAGCGAGAUUAAAGACAAUGGAGUCCAUACUAUCAAGGCUUGGACUCAUUGAUCUCACUCCUAGGAGCUGAGCCCCUUAACCAUGGAGUCUCCACUCUUUUUCCCUCAUCAAGGUUUUAUCCCAAUGGGUUUUACUUGGUGAGGUUUUUAAUGAGGGAGGUCUUCAUGGUUUCCAAGCUUGACUUGUUCUACUUGGUCAUGCUUGAGGGGGAGUAUUGAGAUGAAGACCAAGGAGGCUGAGACAGUAACUUUAGUGUUUUACUGUGGUAACUUUAUUUUAACCAUAGUAACUACUUGGGGAAGUUAUCUGAUGGGAUGAGAAGGUAACUUAGUGAAGAGAAGAGAGGAAACUCGACCAAAGAGGAUAAGGGAGGAUAAGGAAGGAUAAGGGAGCACUUUGACAGCCUGUAUGAUGCUGGAAAGGAGAGGAUGCUUUUACACUAGUGCAAGCAUGUGAGAAAGCACAGCCAAGUGAUUCAAAAGGAGUUCCAGCCUGUCCUUUGACUACACAUGCUUAUCCAUUUCGAAAAUCCUUGUUGCUCUCUCUAUUAAUACUUGUAAACCUCAUCAGAUAUUAAUUAAUGGAGUUUUGAGUCUCUCUCUUUAUUCUCUCACUAAAAUCUCUUAAUCUCUUUAAUCUUUUCAUCUGAUUAUUCCUGAUUGGUUGAAUCAUGCUCUAAUACACAAAAGUGUAUAUUAGUGGCUUCUUCUCACACACCCAGCCUGAGCUCUGAAAACCUAACAUGGUAUCAGAGCCAGGUUCAUCAGAACUUGGUUCCAGCUUCCGCAUAUACAUCACAAGUCUAGCCUCAUCACAGAUCCAAACCAUUGAAGAUGUCCAGCCUGUUCUCUCUCUUCAAAAAGAAGGUGUUUGAAGCUAUGGUGUUGUCUCCUGGUCGUUCCUCCUCUCUCCAGUCCAUUAAAGGCGUGUCUCAACUCUGUGCCAAGCUGAAACACUUCAAGAAGAAAGCUUUCAUCUUGUUCCUGAAGUUGGAGACUUGGAGCUGUGAAGAAAGGUGGAACCUUUUGUGUUGUGGUGUCAAGGAGGAGGUUAUGAACAUAAGGAGAAGGUGUUGGGUGACGAUCCAGCUCUCUUAUCCACUAGAUUCGUGGCCUGUUACCAAGGAGGCUCAAGGAACCAGCUCAGGUUCCUUGGUUGUAAGCUAAUCCUAAACCUUCUUGAUAUGAGCUUGUGAUUGAAACUGGCUGUUGUGUUGUGUUCUUUAUGUUGCAUCCGUGGGUUAAUGACUGAAAAUGCUUGAUAAUAUUGUCUUGUUUAGUCCCAGGAUGCUAUUGAGUCUUGUUUGAUGUUGAGAAAUGAAAUGCUUGCCCGGUUUGGUUAUGAUUGAGCUAGGAUGUUAGAAACUGUCUAAAUCCUAUUAGCUUUCAUUAAACUGAAAUAACUUAAGGUUUUGCAUUGUCUGAUGUUGAUUGAUGAUAAUACUGCUUAGCCACAGUUCUAAAUGAGUGUGUGAUAGAUUGUAUUGUCUGAUCAUGUUGCACUCAUGAAUUAGAAACUGUUUAAGGUUAUAUAGCAUACUGUCAUCUUGUUGCUGCCUUAGGUUGAUACACUUAGAUUCAAGUCUAAGGUGUAGUUAAGGUAGAAGUUAAAAUCCCUAAGUAGCUUGUCUUGAAUCUGAUUUGAUCUUGCUUGUACUUAGAGAGAUUGCUUGCAAAGAUGUGAACUUGAUAAUGCUUGUUUCAAUCUGUUGCAUAGCUUGUGACAUUGGAGAUCAAACUUGAUAUUAGUCAAGGAUUGAUCCCAAUGCUUGUGUUUUAUCUUUGCUGGAGUUUGAGUGAUGUUUCAGGUUCACAUGAUGUGCUCUGUGUCCAUCAUCAAUCCGAGUAGAAGAGGAAGACUUUACCCAUUGGGAAUGGUCACUGGGGUGUAUGUGGAUACACAAGGCGAGUGGUCAUCACCUAAGUCUAGAGGAGACCGGUGACCAGAAGGCAUUGGAGAUAAAGGGAAGGGUUUAUCAGUGGUUGAAGCGCACUCUAUGAGAUGUUGCGCUCCUGAUCUUAAGGCUCAUUGAGGCUCACUUCAAGCUUGGACCCAUACUCAAUCCAAGCUUGAGGAGGGGAGCAAAGUGAGCCACCUGAUGAUCCUGUUGCUCGAUGACCUGUGUUACUCAAGGCCAUUGCAAGCUGAUCAUGGAGUGAUCCAGCCGAAGUGGAGGGAAGAAGAAUGUCACUCAACAAGCUAGUGUGAGAUGCUUGGAGAGUGGGCUGAGGUAUCUCCUCAGUGCAAUGGUGAUGUAGUGGAGGAUUCAAGCAUCAAGUCUGAAAGAGAUGGAGGUGCUCUCCACAAGGCUUAUCAUGGAGCUAACAUGCGCUCACCAUCAAGCUUGGACCUUUCCUAUACUCGGUCUCAAGCUUGAGGGGGAGUGUGGAUGAGCUUGCAUGAUAAGAGAAGGAGCUGUUAAGCUCAGCAAGUGAGGGAUUCAAGUGGUGUGUGAAGAGCAGCCACUCCUCAACAUUUAAACAAGGGAGUAAACCUGAUCAAUCUCUUUAUAUACAUUCAUGAUAAGUUUAUCUCUUGAGAACUGAUACACUUGUGGAAUGAUGUAUCAGGUACCUUACUUGGAGACUCAAUGGAGAGGAUCAGGUCGUUCCUAGCCUUUCAAGAUGGCAUGAAGUCAGGUGAAAGGGGGAGACACUAAGCCGGUUCUAUAGAAGAUUCUAAGAAGGUGUGGUGAAGUGAAGAGGCCGUGAUCCAGAGCCUAUGUGCCUAAACCUCAGUGAUACUAAGGCACAUAGGCUCACUGGCCAAUCCCUAGGCCUUGAAGGCUCUACUCUUUUUCCCUCAUCAAGGUUUUGUCCCAAAGGGUUUUCCUUGGUGAGGUUUUUAAUGAGGGAGUUCUUCAAGGUUCCAAGCUUGGCUUAGGAUCACCUAGAGUCAAGUUUGAGGGGGAGUGUUGACUUGAAGAAAGAAAUGGAGCCAAAGGAGGAGUUGGGUUGAGUUUGGGUCUUGAGCGAGAAUGGGGCAAGACCUCCGGAGAUUGUCUAUCAAGGCUUUAGGAGUGUUUAGGAGUGUCCAGAAGUAUCCAAAUGAGGUGUGCAAAGUUAGGGUCAAGUCCAGGAGGGACUUAGACAUACUUAGACACCAUUUGGAGUCAGUUGGGUGAUGGUGCAGAAAUAGGGUCGAGCAUCGGUACGGACGGUACGGACCGUACGAACUUAGGGCGACCAAGAUGAUGUUCAGACUCAACCAUUUGAGAAGAUUGGGAGUUGGUGCAAAAAUAGGGAGAGGUACGGACAGACGGUCCGUACCAUCGACCGUACUUGUUCCGGAUCAACCUGAAAUGAAGCUGUGCAAACUUAGGGCGCAAGAGAAGACAAACCUGAGUUAUCUUGUGACUGUUUGUGGAUAAGGGAGAGCUAGGGCGUGGUCAAUGACAGGCUGUCUUUGAGCUGUAAAGAAAAAGCAUCCUUGACCAUGUAUCUAGCCAUCUUUGUGAACAAGGUUCAUGGGAGCCUUAAGGGAACCAAUCAGGAGCCAGCCCUUGCUUUGACCAGUUUGAAUCAACAAAUCAGCAUCCAUCACGUCCUCAGCAACCCACCAGACUCCAUCCUAGCCAUCCAUUUCAAUUCAGUCAUUUCUAUCCAUUAGAUUAAGGGUUUAUGAGUUUGCAAUGUGUAAAGCUUAUAAAUAAGCUAUGUAUGGACGUUUUUGUGUCUCUUAAGAGAGAGAGGGGGAUUUCCCCUCCUCCUUCAUAAUACAAAGUGUGUUCUUGGAUAAGAAUCCCUCAAACUACCCCUUUCUUAUACUUAAAUCUCUUAAUCUUUCUAAAUCUCUUGUUUCCGUCCAAGUUCAUACUGUUCUUCAUCAGACCUUUCUCUCUUCAGUUCAAGCUCUCAUUUCGCCCUUAGUGGCUUCUUCUCACACACACAGCCUGAGCUCUGAAAACCUAACACAAACCAUCUAGUAUCCUUGCUCAUAUUGCUAGUUCACAUACCAUUAAACCUUUAGUAGUUGAUUCUGGUGCAUCUGAUCAUAUACUUAGUGACACUAGUUUGAUUAAAAACAUUGUACCAAUGAAUGGUAACGUGAUGAUAGCUAAUGGAGAUAAGAUACCUAUUAGAGGAAUAGGAAGUCUUAAACUGUUUGAUAAGGAAACUAAAGCCUUUUAUAUGCCUGAAUUUACUUCAAACUUGUUAUCUGUUAAGAAAUGUGCUACUGAUUUGCAAUGCAAUGUCAUAUUCAGUCCUAAUGAUGUGAAGUUUCAGGAUAUUAAAAGCAGCAAGAUGAUUGGAAAGGGAGUGACUAAAGGAGAAUUGUAUUUACUUGAAGAUCUUGCUCCUGUUUCUAGUUAUAGCUGCUCGUUUACUUCUGUUUCUGGUUCUAGUUUAAGUAAAAGUGCAUUGUGGCAUGCUGGAUUAGGACACCCUCAUAAUAAGGCUUUAAAACUGAUGUUGCCAGGUGUUUCCUUUGAGAAUAAUGAUUGUGAAGCUUGUAUUUUAGGCAAGCAUUGUAAGACUGUCUUUACUAAAUCUACUACGGUUUAUGAGAAGUGUUUUGAUUUGAUUCAUUCUGAUGUUUGGACUGCUCCUUGCUUAUCUAGAGACAAUCAAAAGUAUUAUGUAACUUUCAUUGAUGAAAAAUCCAAAUACACCUGGUUAACCUUAAUUCCAACCAAAGAUAGGGUACUUGAUGCAUUUAAGAACUUUCAAUCAUAUGUGACUAACCAUUAUAAUGCCAAGAUAAAGAUUUUCAGGUCAGAUAAUGGAGGAGAGUACACGGGACAAGCAUUCAAGCUCCAUCUAUCUCAGCAUGGAAUCCUACAUCAGACAAGCUGUCCCUAUACUCCACAACAGAAUGGUGUGGCUGAGAGAAAGAAUAGGCAUCUGAUGGAAGUGGCCAGGUCCAUGAUGUUUCAAACCAAUGUACCUAAGAAGUUCUGGAGUGAUGCGGUCACUACAGCUUGUUAUCUCAUCAACAGAACACCAACUCCGAUUCUGCAAGGGUUAUCACCAUUUGAGGUAUUGAACCAAUACAAGCCCUCAUUGGAACAUAUGAAGAUCUUUGGGUGUUUGUGUUUUGUGAUGGUACCGGGAGAAUUAAGAAACAAACUUGAAGCUAGGAGCUCCAAGGCAAUGUUUAUUGGAUACUCAUCAAGUCAGAAAGGAUACAAGUGCUAUGAUCCUAACACAAGGAGAGUGUUAGUGUUGAGAUGAGGAGUUGAGAUGAAGGCUUAGAGAGGCUUGGGUAAUGAAAGGGAUGAGGAGAUGAAGUUCAGGGUGAAGUGUACGGAGUUACCAUGUCCUUACCAUUUGGAGUUACCACGGUAAAUAAGAGAUUGAACAACAAGAAGGAGGGAAAGGCCAAAGACACUUAUGCAAAGGGAAGGUCACGGCCAAAGAAGGGAGAUGACCGUUUAUGGAUAAGAGGAGGCGCGGCUUUACAGCUGGGACAGGCUGUAAAGGUGUUUGGCAUCUGAUCCAAGAUGCCAAAGGGAUCAAACGUGUGAUGGCCCCUAUUGGACGGAUUCAAAACCGGCCAGCUCUUACCAUUUGACUUCACAUGCUUAAGCUACCUUAACCCAUUUCGAAAACCCUAUGUCCUCUAAGUAUAAAUAUGUAAUCUCCUCAUUAAUAAGAGACCAGACAGUUCUAUCCAAUUAGUCACUCUAGUCUUUCAUAAUGAUUCCUCACUAGUCAUCUAAUCACAUAAUCAUCUCCUUAUUCAUCCUAAAUCAUUCUACUCUUUCACAUACAAACUCAGAUUAUCUAAAACUCUUAUGGUAUCAGAGCCAAGUUACAAAGAAUCUGAGUUCUUAUUUUGAGACACUGAAGAACAAAGGUGAUGCUUUGAAGCCAUCCGAGGAAGAUCAGAGCUCAAGGGUGUUCAAUUGGUGUGUGCGCGAGUUCUAAACAAGUUAAGAUCCAUUCAUACAAGAGUCAUCCGUUCAAAGCUCCAUCCCUCUCAAGUUUUUGAAGUUAAGCUGUGACAAGAUGGAGAACAUGAAGAUGAAAGUGGCGAUUACCUUCAAGGGAAGCAACUACUUGGUUUGGUCCCGGCUGGUGAAGACAACCAUUGGGAGUAAGGGCUUGUGGAGUCAUAUCACAACCGGUGAAGCUCCGAAGCUCAUUACUCAGGAAGAAGACCAAGAGGGGGUCUCAGUUGAUGCUGUAGAGAAGUGGCAGCAGGAAGACAUGGUGGUGAUGUAUGUUCUUCAUGGGUCGUUGGAGCCAGCGAUAUUGGAGGCAUACAGCUACUGUGAGUCAGCCAAGGAGCUGUGGGACACCUUGAAGAAGGUGUAUGGGAACAUUUCGAACCUGAGCCGUGUCUUUGAGGUAAAGCAAGCCAUCAACAAUCUUGCACAAGAAGACAUGGAGUUCACCAAGCAUUUGGGAAGAUUCAAGGCAUUGUGGUCAGAGCUAGAGAUGUUGAGACCGAGUACAACUGAUCCAGAUCAGUUGAAUGAGAGGCGGGAGCAAGACAAAGUGUUCGGCUUGCUUCUCACACUAAACCCGGCCUACAACAGUCUCAUCAAGCACAUGUUGAGAGCUGAUAAGCUACCUGAUCUAGAGGACGUGUGUGCACAGAUUCAGAAAGAACAAGGCUCCAUUGGACUGUUUGGAGGCAAAGGAGAACUCACAUUGGCAAAUCAUGCGUCCCAAGUGAAUCAGACUGAAGCUCCUCAAGCUAACAAGGCGGUUCAUGGCAAGUAUGAAGACAAGAGGUUCAAUGGGAAUUGUGAUCACUGCAAGAAGCAUGGACACAAGAAGAUUCAAUGCUGGAUACUCCACCCUCACUUGUAGCCGGCGAAGUUCUUAAAGGAGAAGGAAGCAAGAGCACAUAUGACUGAGAGCUCUAUGGGUGCUGGCUCCUCAAGCAGGACAAGUGAAGGAGAAGUGCGUGAGGUGGGUGAUGGAAAGUCACUGGUGGCGUACACUGGAGGUUCAAGCAACAAUGACUACAUCCGGCUCUCAGACAUGGACGCCUUCAUCAAGAUGCUCAAGGAAAACGGUAACAAAAGUAGUAUCAACCUUGGUUAUUCAUUUGGUGCAUCUAUGAUCAAGAGUGUGUCUGAUUGUGUUGAGAAUGAACCUAGACUUGAUAGGACUGAAAGUAUACUCAAGAGUAAAAUGGAUAUAAACCAGAUAGUAUUCUCUGUCAAGCUCAUAUUGCUAGAAACAUGUCUAAAGCAUUAAUAAUUGAUUUUGGUGCAUCUCAUCACAUGAUAAGUGACACUAGAUUGAUUAAGGACAUUCAACCUGCAAAUGGACAUGUUAUGAUUGCUAAUGGUGAUAAGAUUCCCAUAAAAGGAAUAGGAAAACUUAAGUUGUUUGAAAAAGAAUCUAAAGCCUUCUAUAUGCCUGAGUUCACAUCUAAUCUAUUGUCAGUUAAGAGAUGCACUACUGACUUGCAAUGUAAUGUUAUAUUCAGUCCUAAUGAUGUGAAGUUUCAGGAUAUUGAGAGCAGCAAGAUGAUUGGGAAAGGAGUUACUAAAGGAGACCUUUAUUUACUUGAAGAUCUUGCUUCUGAUCCUAGUCAUUGUUCAUUUACAUUUGCUUCUGAUUCUGUCACUAGUUUAAAUAAGAAUGCAUUGUGGCAUGCUAGACUAGGUCACCCUCAUGCUAAACCUUUGAACUUAAUGGUACCAGGUGUUAUGUAUGAGAAUAAAGAUUGUGAAGCUUGUAUCUUAGGCAAGCAUUGUAAGAAUGUGUUUCCAAAAUCUUCAACGGUCUAUGAAAAUUGCUUUGAUUUGAUUCAUUCUGAUGUGUGGACUGCACCUUGUUUGUCAAGGGAUAAUUAUAAAUACUUUGUCACAUUCAUUGAAGAAAAAUCCAAAUACACCUGGUUAACCUUAAUUCAAACCAAAGAUAGGGUACUUCAUGCAUUUAAAAACUUUCAAGCUUAUGUGACUAACCAUUAUCAUGCAAAGAUUAAAAUUUUUAGAUCAGAUAAUGGAGGAGAGUAUACAAGCUUGGCGUUCAAGCAGCACCUAGCUCAACAUGGAAUACUUCAUCAAACUAGUUGCCCAUAUACUCCUCAGCAAAAUGGUGUGGCUGAGAGAAAGAACAGGCAUCUAAUGGAAGUGGCAAGGUCUCUCAUGCUUCAAGCAAAUGUUCCCAAGAAGUUUUGGAGUGAUGCUGUCUCCACAGCAUGUUAUCUGAUCAACAGGACUCCUACCAGAGUUUUGGAUGAUCAUGCUCCAUUUGAAGUAUUGAACAAACACAAGCCGGUUCUAGAUUACUUGAGAGUCUUUGGAUGCUUGUGUUAUGUGUUGAUUCCAGGAGAGCUGCGCAACAAGCUUGAAGCUAGAAGCACCAAAGCCAUGUUUAUUGGAUAUUCAACCACUCAAAAGGGUUAUAGAUGUUAUGAUCCUGUCACAAGAAGAGUACUUACAUCUAGAGAUGUAAAGUUCAUUGAAUCCCGUGGGUAUUAUGAUGAGAAGAAUCAGGAAGACUUGAAGGAUCUCACCUCAGAUAAGGCUGGGGUGUUAAGGAUUAUCCUAGAGGGGCUAGGAAUCAAGAUGUCCCAGGAUCAGAACUCUGGUCAAAGAGGACAACAUGGAGACUCUCACCAUGAUCGCGAGGGGGGAAAUGAGCCUGAAGUUCAAGAAAGUGGCCAAGAAGGAACCGGCUUGAAUGAGGAAGGAAUGGAGACAAGUUUAGGCCGAGAUGGUGAUGAAGCCGGCUUGAAUCAGGAACAAAGGGAGAUGAGUUCAGGCUCUCACAAUCAAGGUGAGCAGGAACAAAGAGAAGUAGAAGCAUCAGUUGAGGAUGUAGAAGAAGAACCAGACGUUCAAGAGCAAACAGUGAGAGUUCAACAACCAGAAUUGAGGAGAAGCACAAGAGUGAGGAAGGAUCCUUCCUCUUGGGUGAACACGAGAGUGUACUACAAUGCCCAAGCAGUGGAGCAUCCUUCUCAAGCUGUGUGCUCCUUUGCUCAAUAUCCUAAAGCACAUUGCGCAUUUAUGGUAAAUUUGGAUUAGGGUUAUGUCCCAAGAAGCUAUGAAGAGGCAAUACAAGACAAGGAGUGGAAGGAAUCAGUUGGAGCUGAGGCAGGAGCCAUGAUCAAGAAUGAUACAUGAUAUGAGAGUGAGUUACCAAAAGGGAAGAAGGCUGUGACUAGUAGAUGGAUCUUCACAAUCAAGUAUAAGGCUGAUGGUCAAGUUGAGAGGAAGAAGUCAAGACUUGUUGCAAGAGGCUUUACUCAAACGUAUGGAGAAGAUUACAUUGAGACCUUUGCACCAGUGGCUAAGCUACACACAAUCCGGAUUGUAUUAAGCUUGGCUGUGAAUCUUGGAUGGGGCUUAUGGAAAAUGGAUGUGAAGAAUGCAUUUCUACAAAGAGAGCUUGAGGAUGAAGUGUAUAUGCAUCCACCUCCAGGCUUGGAACACUUAGUAAAGAAAGGGAAUGUGUUGAGACUGAAGAAAGCUAUCUAUGGGCUGAAACAAUCACCAAGAGCUUGGUAUAACAAGCUGAGCACUACUCUUAAUGGCCCAGGUUUCAAGAAGUCUGAACUAGAUCACACUCUCUUCACACUCACAACUCCCUCAGGUAUGAUUGCACUCCUUGUGUAUGUUGAUGAUAUCAUUAUCACAGGAAGUGAUAAGGAAGGUAUCAUAGCAACCAAGGAGUUCCUUAAAUCCAUGUUUGAGAUUAAAGACUUGGGAGAAAUGAAAUACUUUCUUGGAAUUGAGAUAUGUAGAUCCAAGGAAGGUUUAUUCAUGUCCCAAAGGAAGUAUACACUUGAUCUUUUGAAAGGUGCAGGUCCUUAUGGAGGCAAGACAGCAAGGAUGCCUAUGGAGGAUGGCUACAAAGUCCCACGAGAGGGAGAGAUUGAAGAUAGCAAACCUUAUCAGGAUCCUAAACUCUAUAGAAAACUAGUUGGUAAAUUGAUUUACCUUACCAUAACUAGACCUGACAUUUGUUUUGCUGUGAAUCAGGUGAGUCAACACAUGCAAGUGCCUAAGGAGCAUCACUGGCGUAUGGUGGAGAGAAUCUUGAUGUAUCUCAACGGCUCACAUGAUCAAGGAGUAUGGAUGGGUUGCAAUGGUAGCACUGAAGUGGUUGGAUACUGUGAUGCGGAUUGGGCUGGUGAUAGAGCAGACAGGAGAUCAACCACAGGCUAUUGCACAUUCAUUGGAGGCAACUUGGUUAUGUGGAAGAGUAAGAAGCAGAAGGUGGUCUCUUGCUCAAGUGCAGAAGCUGAGUAUAGAGCUAUGCUGAAGCUUACCAACGAGCUGGUGUGGAUCAAAGGCAUCUUGAAGCAUUUGCAGAUUGAUCAAGCCACGCCAAUGACAAUGCAUUGUGAUAACCAAGCAGCUAUUCACAUUGCCUCCAACUCGGUGUUUCAUGAGAGAACCAAGCACAUUGAAGUUGAUUGUCACAAGGUGAGGCAGAUGAUUGUCCUAGGAGUCAUCUUGCCAUGCUACACUAGGAGUGAAGAUCAGUUGGCUGAUGUGUUCACUAAGGCUGCAAGACAGAAGACAAUGGAGUCCAUUCAUAUCAGAUUGGGACUCAUUGAUCUUGGGAAGAGAAGGAGCUGAUCCCCUUGGCUGUGAGGUCUUUACUCUUUUUCCCUCAUCAAGGUUUUAUCCCAAUGGGUUUUCCUUGGUGAGGUUUUUAAUGAGGAAUAUCUCAUGGCUAUCCAAGCUUAGGCUUUCACAAAGCUAAGCUUGAGGGGGAGUGUUGAGAUGAGGAGUUGAGAUGAAGGCUUAGAGAGGCUUGGGUAAUGAAAGGGAUGAGGAGAUGAAGUUCAGGGUGAAGUGUACGGAGUUACCAUGUCCUUACCAUUUGGAGUUACCACGGUAAAUAAGAGAUUGAACAACAAGAAGGAGGGAAAGGCCAAAGACACUUAUGCAAAGGGAAGGUCACAGCCAAAGAAGGGAGAUGACCGUUUAUGGAUAAGAGGAGGCGCAGCUUUACAGCUGGGACAGGCUGUAAAGGUGUUUGGCAUCUGAUCCAAGAUGCCAAAGGGAUCAAACGUGUGAUGGCCCCUAUUGGACGGAUUCAAAACCGGCCAGCUCUUACCAUUUGACUUCACAUGCUUAAGCUACCUUAACCCAUUUCGAAAACCCUAUGUCCUCUAAGUAUAAAUAUGUAAUCUCCUCAUUAAUAAGAGACCAGACAGUUCUAUCCAAUUAGUCACUCUAGUCUUUCAUAAUGAUUCCUCACUAGUCAUCUAAUCACAUAAUCAUCUCCUUAUUCAUCCUAAAUCAUUCUACUCUUUCACAUACAAACUCAGAUUAUCUAAAACUCUUAGUUAGUAUCUAGAGAAGUGAAGUUUGUGGAGGAAAAAGGAUAUUAUGAGGAGCAGAUUCAAGAAGAUUUGAAAGAUCUCACUUCAGAUAGAGCUGCAACCUUGAGGAUAAUACUAGAAGGACUUGGAAUCAAUAUGGAUCAAGAACAGCAAGAAGUGAUAGGCACUACACCAAUACCGAAUCAUCAGACGUCCAAUCUUGAACAUGAAGGGGGGAAUGGAACAGAAACUCAAACUCAAAGUCAUGAAGAGAGUUCUGGUUCUCAUGAUCAAGCUGUGGAGUCAAAUGAUCAACGAGAAGGAGCUGAAUCAAGUCAGCUAAGGGAUGAAAGAGCUGAAGCAAGUCAGCCAAGAGAAGAAACAUCUGAAACUAGUACACAAGAAGAUGUACAAGACAAGAAUGGAACAGAAACUCAAACUCAAAGUCAUGAAGAGAGUUCUGGUUCUCAUGAUCAAGCUGUGGAGUCAAAUGAUCAACGAGAAGGAGCUGAAUCAAGUCAGCUAAGGGAUGAAGGAGCUGAAGCAAGUCAGCCAAGAGAAGAACCAUCUGAAACUAGUACACAAGAAGAUGUACAAGACAUGGAGUUACCGGCACAAGAAGGGCCAGUGUUGAGAAGAAGUACAAGGCUGAGAAAGGAUCCUUCCAGUUGGGUAAACACGAGAGUGUACUACAAUGCUCAAGCUGUGAAGCAUCCUACUCAGGCCGUGUGUUCUUUCUCUCAAUAUCCAGAAGCACAUUGUGCAUUCAUGGUAAACUUAGAUGAGAAUCACAUUCCAAGAAGCUAUGAAGAGGCAAUGGAUGAUAAGGAAUGGAAGGAAUCAGUAGGAGCUGAGGCAGGAGCUAUGAUAAAGAAUGAUACAUGGUUUGAAAGUGAACUACCAAAAGGGAAGAAGGCAGUAUCUAGUAGAUGGAUCUUCACAAUCAAAUACAAUGCUGAUGGACAGAUUGAGAGGAAGAAGACUAGAUUAGUAGCAAGAGGGUUCACUCAAACAUAUGGAGAGGAUUACAUUGAGACAUUUGCACCAGUAGCCAAGUUACAUACCAUUAGAAUUGUACUAAGCUUGGCGGUUAACCUUGGAUGGGGAUUGUGGCAAAUGGAUGUGAAGAAUGCAUUCUUACAAGGAGAACUUGAGGAUGAAGUCUACAUGUAUCCUCCACCAGGUCUUAAACAUCUAGUGAAGAGAGGGAAUGUACUGAGGCUAAAGAAGGCUAUCUAUGGGUUGAAGCAAUCACCAAGAGCGUGGUACAACAAGUUGAGCACAACUCUGAACGGCCGAGGUUUUAAGAAGUCAGAAUUGGACCAUACUCUCUUUACCCUCACUACUCCCUCAGGUAUGGUUGCUCUCCUUGUGUAUGUGGAUGAUAUCAUUAUCACAGGGAGUGAUAAGGAAGGUAUCAAAGCAACCAAGGAGUUUCUAAAGUCUAUGUUUGAAAUAAAAGACUUGGGAGAAAUGAAAUACUUUCUUGGAAUUGAGAUUUGUAGAUCCAAGGAAGGUUUGUUCAUGUCCCAAAGGAAGUAUACACUUGAUCUUUUGAAAGUUGCAGGUGCUCAUGGCGGCAAGACAGCAAGGAUGCCAAUGGAGGAUGGCUACAAAGUACCAAGAGAGGGGGAGAUUGAAGACAGCAAGCCAUUUCAUGAUCCUAAACUCUAUAGAAAACUUGUUGGCAAAUUGAUUUAUCUAACCAUCACAAGACCUGAUAUAUGCUUUGCUGUGAAUCAGGUGAGUCAACACAUGCAGCUUCCCAAGGAACAUCAUUGGCGUAUGGUGGAGAGGAUGCUGAUAUAUCUAAAUGGCUCGCCGGAUCAAGGAGUAUGGAUGGGGUGCAAUGGAAGCACAGAAGUAGUGGGCUAUUGUGAUGGUGAUUGGGCAGGUGAUAGAGCUGACAGGAGAUCAACAACCGGCUAUUGCACAUUCAUUGGAGGCAACUUGGUGACUUGGAAGAGUAAGAAACAGAAGGUGGUGUCAUGCUCUAGUGCAGAAGCUGAGUAUAGAGCUAUGCUGAAGCUUACAAACGAGCUAGUUUGGAUUAAGGGCAUCUUGAAGCAUUUAGAGAUAGUACAAGACACUCCAAUGACAAUGCAUUGUGACAACCAGGCCGCCAUUCACAUAGCCUCCAACUCGGUGUUUCAUGAGAGAACAAAGCACAUUGAGGUUGAUUGCGACAAGGUGAGGCAGAUGAUUGUCCUAGGAGUCAUCUUGCCAUGUUAUACUAGGAGUGAAGAUCAGUUGGCUGAUGUAUUUACCAAGGCUGCAAGGCAAAAGACAAUGGAGUCCAUUCAUAUUAGAUUGGGCCUCAUUGAUCUUGGGAAGAGAAGCAGCUGAUCCCCUUAGUCAUGAGAUCUUUACUCUUUUUCCCUCAUUAAGGUUUUGUCCCAAUGGGUUUUCCUUAGUGAGGUUUUUAAUGAGGAAGAUCUCAUGGCUGUCCAAGCUUAGGCUUUCACAAAGCUAAGCUUGAGGGGGAGUGUUGAGAUGAGCUGAGUAUAUGGAUAUGAAGAGAUAAGGAGUUGAAGAGGAGAGGAGAUGAAGUACUUAGGGAAGUUUGGGAGAGUAUGGUACGGCUGGCCGUACAAGGCCGUACAAGGCCGUACAAGGCCGACCAUCCAAACCUCAACCAAAACUUACCAUACCCUAUCCAAGUGAGACGGUAACUAAGGAGGAGUGACUUGGGUAGCUUAGGGAGUUGGAUCAGACCGUUGAGAGGAUAAGGCAAGAGCGUGCCAGGCUGGAACAGGCUGUAAAGAGCCAAAGCAUGUGAGCCAUCCUGACCAAUCAUUCAAAAGGCGCCCCUUGACUCCACAAGGUUCAAUAGUGCCCAUUUCCCUUCUUGUAAACCCUUGUGUCUCUCUUAUAAAUAUGUAACCUCACUCAUUAAUAAAAUCAAGCAGUUUGAGUCUUUCUCUUAGUCUUUAAUCUCAAUGGUUACAUAUUAGAUUCAUAAUCUCAUUUCAUACUCUAAUCUUCUUUAAAUCGAUUCUAUUCUUCUCUAAACACUCAGAUUACUCUAAACAUUACUAAAAGUGAUAUGGUAUCAGAGCCAGGUUAGUGAGAACCUGAGUUCGUGGUAGGCUCUUUGGAGAUUCAAGAUUGAAGCUUUAAAGAGUUUGGUUGGUGUUCUUGCGUUCUUGGGAGGCUCUGGGUAUUGUUCGAGUUCAAAGACUAGUUUUUAGUGUGUUGCUGAAGCUGUGAGGUUGAAGACCGAGGCAGUGAGUGUUCUUACAAGUCUUUUAACUCAAGAUCCAGUUUGUGAAGUCUAGAGAAGUCAUCGUUCAUCAUGGAGAGCGGUAUGAACAUGAACAUGAAGGUAGCGGUUUGCUUCAAGGGAACCAACUACUUGGUGUGGUCUCGGAUGGUGAGAACCACGGUGGGAAGCAAAGGGCUUUGGAAGCACAUCACGCCAGGAGAGGCUCCAAAGCUCAUCACCCAAGGAGAAACUGAAGGAGAAGCCGCAAGCAAAGCGGAAGAGAAGUGGCAUCAGGAGGACAUGUUGGUAAUGUCAGUGCUGCAUGCUUCACUUGAGCCGGCGAUUCUAGAUGCAUACAGCUACUGUGAGUCUGCUAAAGAGCUGUGGGAUACGUUGAAGAAGGUGUAUGGGAAUACAUCAAACCUGAGCCGUGUGUUUGAGGUGAAGCAGGCUAUAAACAACUUGGUACAAGAGGAUAUGGAGUUCACCAAGCAUCUAGGGAGGUUCAGAACACUCUGGUCCGAGCUGGAGAUGUUGAGGCCAAGCACUACAGAUGCAGAUGAGCUCAACAAAAGGAGAGAGCAAGACAAGGUCUUUGGGCUACUCCUCACCAUGAAUCCGGCUUACAAUGGUCUUAUCCAACACUUGCUUAGAGAAGACACACUACCUGAUCUUGAAGAAGUGUGCGCAAGGAUUCAGAAGGAACAGGGCUCCAUUGGGUUGUUUGGAAAGAAAGGAGAGCUAUCUCUCGUGAAUCAAGCAACUCAAGAGGAGGGAGGGGAAGCUCCACAAGCACACAAGGCUGCGCAUGGGAAGUAUGAUGAGAGGAGGUUCAAUGGGAACUGUGAUCACUGCAAGAAGCAUGGCCACAAGAAGAGCCAAUGCUGGAUACUCCAUCCCCAUCUCAAGCCGGCAAAGUUUAUGAAGGACAGAGAGGCAAGGGCUAAUAUCUCAGANNNNNNNNNNNNNNNNNNNNNNNNNNNNNNNNNNNNNNNNNNNNNNNNNNNNNNNNNNNNNNNNNNNNNNNNNNNNNNNNNNNNNNNNNNNNNNGACUGAUCUGUGGACAGAUUAGGAGGAGCCUAAGGAGAGCUAAUCAUCAUCCAGCCUUCCCCAUUUUGAAUUAAACCAAUCAGGCUCCACCUCCUCUUAACCAAUCAGCAUCAACUACUCAGAUUGCAACAAGACAAGCUCAUCUACACCAUCCAUUCCUCUUAAGUUGUUUACAGCCAUUAGAUAUAGGUUUAAGAUGUCUCAGAUUGUAAAAGCCUAUAUAAAGAGAUGUAUGAGGCAAUUUGUAACUCUUAAGAGAGUUAGGGGGAUUUCCCCUUCUCCUUCAUAAUAGAAAAGUGUUCUUGGAUCAGAAUCCCUUAAUCUCUCCCUUUCUUAGUCUCUAAUCUCCUAAUCUCUCAAAGUCUUUUGUUUCUGAUCUGAGUAAACACUUAAUCACUCAUAAACACUUCCACUAAUCUAUCUCUCUCUAAAUCACCUAAAUCAAACUCUCUCUCUCUCUGCCCUAUUGGGUUUUACACAAACACACAGCCUGAGAUCUCUGAAAAUCUCACAUCAGAGCCAGGUUCAUCUGAAUCUGGUUCUUCGCUUCCGCAAAAGCUCACAAGCUCCUCUCAUGUCGUUUUGAAACCAAGAAGAAGCUUAGAUGAUCCAGCCGGCUGUUCAACAUCUCAAGUGGAAGAUGGGUUCAUCCCUGGUGUCCAGAAGCUGUAUGGGGUCGUUUCUCACCCUCUCAUGACGCCCAUGGAGAAAGAAGACUCUUGGAAACAAGGCAAGAAGUGGUCUGAUCAACCAAGCUUCAAAAGCUUUAUCCAAGCUGUUUCUUAUUCACUGUCCAAGAAGAAAGGUGAUAGCUUUCAUCUGGUACUGGUGUGGCGAGUUUAACAUGAAGAAAGGUGGGGUCUUUGACAUGGAGAGUUCAAGAGAAAGGUCCAUGGGAGAAGGAGAAGUUGGGGUCGACACCAACAGCUCACUGUCUUGCCAUGUUCUAUGGAGUUUCAAGGAACUAACACUAGUUCCUUGGCUGUAAGAAACCUCUUUCUCUUGUUUAAAGCUUGUGUAUGUGAACUGAAUGAUUUAUUAAACAGGUUGUGAUGUUGUGAUGUGAUUGAAAACCUGAGGAUGUGUUUAAAGAUUGCUAGAUAUGAAAAGUUUAGAAUCUGUCCCAGGAUGCUUAAAGAGUUGUUGAUUGGUGACUGAGAGUUGUUGCUUAAAAUCCGGUUCAUAAUGACUGUCUGUUAGGGAGUUAGUAGUAUUGUCUAAACCUGAUUGCUUUCAUGAAUUGAAACCGAGCUUAAAGUGGAGUGUAGAGUGUUGUUGCUGCCUUGGGUUGAUGCACUUUGAUUCAAGUCUAAGAUGCAAUUAAGGCAGAAGUUGAAAUGCCUAAGUAACUUGUCUUGAAUCUGUUGUGAUCUUGCUUGUCCUUAGAGAGAUUGCUUGCAAAGAUUCGAACUUGAUAAUGCCUUGUUUAAUCUGUUGCAUAGCUUGUGUAAUUGGAGAUCAAACUUGAUGAUUAGUCAAGGUUUGAUCUCAAUACUUGUGUCUUAUCUAUGCUGGAGUUUGAGUGAUGUUUCAGGUACAUGAGAAGUGUUAUUUGUCCAUCACCAAUCCGAGUAGAAGAGGAGGACUUUGCCCAUUUUUAAAGCAAUGGAGAGUGGCUUGUGUGUAUGGCCGGUUGAGAAGCGCAGCUAGUGAUAGUGAUGCGCUCCUGGUUCAUGGAGACACACAAGGGAAGGUCAUCACCUAAGUCUUGAGGAGACCGGUGACCUGAAGGCAUUGGAGCUGAAGGAAAUGGCAGAUCGGUUGACUUAAGCGCAGCUGUAGGAAGUGAUGCGCUCCCGGUUUGAAGUCUCAUUGAGGCUCACUUCAAGCUUGAACCUAGACUCAGUCAAGCUUGAGGUGGGGAUUCAAGUGAGCUACCAGAAGAUCCUCGAAGCUUAGUGACCUGUUUCCUCCUUACCAUUGCAAACAUCUGAAGAAGGAGCCAACCCGGGUUUAGGCAGUGGCGUGUCUACUCAAGAGAUUGUUCAGAGCAGUCUUCGCUGUGUAUGAAGAAGGUUACUCUAUCAAUGCGGCCUCUAGUGUGAGGUGGUUGAAGAGGGAACUGAGGUAUCUACUAGCAGUCCAUCAAGGGUGGCGAGUUAUGAAGAGAGGUUGCAAUGGUUUGUUCAGUCUAGAUCAUGAAGCCUUCUUGCUGUCCAAGCUUGAUCCUUGAAAGAGGUCUCAAGCUUGAGGGGGAGUGUUGAAGUGGCUUCAUUGAUCAGAUAGAGUUUCAGCAGUGAGGGAUUCAAGUGGCUAGUGAAGAGCAGCCACUCCUCACCAUUUAAACAAGGGAGUAAACCUGAUCUUAUACUUUACAUACUUUCAUGAUAGGUUUAUCUCUUGAGGACUGAUACACUUGUGGAAUGAUGUAUCAGGUACUUGUAUCUAUCAAGGAAGAUCUGGUGUGUCCAAGCACUUCAACCAAACAAGAAGUUAAGUGAAAGGGGGAGAGACCAAGAUCUGUUCUAAAGAAGAGUACAAGACAUGGUGGUGAUGUGCAAUGAAGAGAAGAACGAGUGUGCAUCACAGUUAGUGUUAACUUGAAGAGAAGAAAUGGAGAAACUAAAGGUGUUGAGUUGAGUUGGGGCUUGUGCAAAAGAUAGGGCAAGGUGUCCAGAAGUGUCAUGAUGGAUGUGCAAUGUUAAGGCCAAGUCUAGGAGAGACUUAGAAGUGUAUUUGGGAGCAAAUGGACUGUUGAGAUGAAGACCAAGGAGGCUGAGACAGUAACUUUAGAGUUUUACUGUGGUAACUUUAUUUUAACCACAGUAACUACUUGGGGAAGUUAUCUGAUGGGAUGAGGAGGUAACUUAGUGAGGAGAAGAGAGGAAAUUCGACCAAAGAGGAUAAGGAAGGAUAACGGAGCACUUUGACAGCCUGUAUGAUGAUGGAAAGGAGAGGAUGCUUUUACACUAGUGCAAGCAUGUGAGAAAGCACAGCCAAGUGAUUCAAAAGGAGUUCCAGCCUGUCAUUUGACUACACAUGCUUAUACAUUUCGAAAAUCCUUGUUGCUCUCUCUAUUAAUACUUGUAAACCUCAUCAGUUAUUAAUUAAUGGAGUUUUGAGUCUCUCUCUAGAAUCUCUCUAUUCUCUCUAAACUUUACUCUUCUCUGAUUAUUAUUAAACACACUCUAAAACACAAAAGUGUUUAUGGUAUCAGAGCCUGGUUGCUCAAAAGGGGAUGAGUGUGUGAUUUGUUUUUCGCAAAUUUAGGUUCUUUUUGGUGUUCUUGAGUGUUCUUGGUGAUUCUGGGUUGUGUUCUUCAGUCACUAGGCUCGUUUGGAUCAUUCUGAUGGAAACAAACAAUCUAGACAUGGAGAAGAAGCACAGAUCUAGUACAAUCAUGGAGCUUGAUGAAGAGAGGGAUGGCGAUUGGUCAAGAUGGGCAAAGAGAGCUUUGGAAAGCUGUGGGUUAUGGUGUGGUCAUGUAAAGGGAAAGCCUUUAGUGGAAAUGGCUACUGAAGAAGGUCAGACAAGGAAUCUGAAAGGUGAAGAUGAAGCUGAUCAAGAAACCACUUUGGAGAGUGGGAUUGAAGAAGCUUAUGUAGAAAGGUCCAAACUUGUGAAGGUCAGUGGAGACAAGAGAGUGAUCCGCGGCUUGAGACAAGGAAAGGAUGAGUUGUAUCAGCUUGUGGGAAGGCUGAAAGAAGGAUGGAUGGAGUUGGAUGUGCUGAGACCAAGCACAUCUGAUCCGAGAGUUAUUAAAGAAAGGAGGAAACAAGAUGUGUUCUUUAGCUUUCUUGUGAAGGAGAUAUGGGUUCUUGUUCUUCAUGCGUGUGAUGUGUGGGAAGAGGACAAGAGUUCAAACCAGUGGAAAGGUGGUACAAGCUGUAAGAAGGGAAGGCUGAGAAAGCUGUCUAGAGUGUGGCUUAAGAUGGGAAAGGCUUGGAAGAAGGACAGGGAGUCUGGGUAUCUAACUGAUAGGAUGAGCUUGAAGAUGAUCAAGGAGGUGGCUCAACAAGUGGUAAGAGGAGAGUGUUCUUACUCUGCCUAUAUGAGUAACUCAGUGGAGGACAGUAUGGUUAUGAAGGGGAAAGAGAUCAAAGGAGCAGAUGAUCCUAUCACAAAGAAAGAAUGGGAUGAGUUUGUCAAGUAUGUGUAUGCUUUGGCUACGACCCGGAGACAAGGUGCUCCUGCCUUAGCAUCCACAUCCAAACCCAUCAUCAUUGAUUCUGGAGCAACACAUCAUAUGAUCAGUGAUAAAAGUCUGAUAAGUGGAGUAAAGGCUGCAACAGGGAGUGUCAUGAUAGCUAAUGGUGCUAGGAUCCCAAUUGAAGGCGUGGGAAACCUCAAGCUGUUUGAGAAGAGCUCACCUGCGUUCUAUUUGCCUCAGUUCACUUCAAAUCUGAUAUCAGUGAAGAAGGCCACAGUUGAUCUUGAUUGUCAAGUAGUAUUCAGGCCAAAUGAAGUUGAGUUUCAAGAUUUGAAGACUGGGAGAGUUAUUGGUAGAGGAGACAGCAAGAAUCAGUUAUAUCAUCUCCAAACAGCUAAGACCUCUAACCCUAUUGAUUCUGUAUGCUUGAGUAGUACUGCGGAUAGGUGUGAGAGUACUACUUGGCAUGCUAGAUUAGGACAUCCUCAUGCUCGUGCAAUUGAAUUGAUUAUGCCUAAUAUGUCAUUCAAUCACUUGGAAUGUGAAGCUUGCAUCUUAGGGAAGCAUUGUAGAACUGUUUUUCCCACAUCAGAGACCAUAUAUGCAAAUUGCUUUGAUCUUGUUCAUUCUGAUGUGUGGACAGCCCCUUGUAUGUCUAGAGAAAACCAGAAGUACUUUGUGACAUUCAUAGAUGAGAAAUCUAAGUAUACAUGGAUCACAUUGCUGCCAUCUAAGGAUAGAGUGUUUGAGGCUUUUGUCAACUUCCAAGCAUAUGUAACUAACCAUUACAAUGCUACUGUGAAGGUACUACGGUCUGAUAAUGGAGGAGAAUACACCAGUCAUGCCUUCAAGAGUCACUUGGCUAAACAUGGGAUAGUGCAUCAGACCAGUUGUCCUUACACACCACAGCAGAAUGGGGUAGCUGAGAGGAAGAAUAGGCAUCUGAUGGAGGUGGCUAGAUCCAUGAUGUAUCAUGCUAAUGUUCCAAAGAGGUUUUGGGGUGAUGCUGUUCAGACUGCAUGCUAUCUUAUCAAUCGGAUUCCAACUAAGGUAUUGAAGAAUCUGUCUCCUUUUGAGGUGCUGAACAAGAGCAAGCCAUACAUAGAUCAUCUGCGUGUCUUUGGAUGUCUAUGUUAUGUCUGGGUUCCAGGAGAACAGAGAAACAAGUUGGAGGCAAAGAGCACUAAAGCAAUGCUCAUUGGAUACUCAGUAACUCAGAAGGGGUACAAAUGCUAUGAUCCAGCAACCAGGAGAGUGUUGGUGUCUAGAGAUGUUAAGUUCAUAGAGACAAAGGGGUAUUAUGAAGAAAAGAAUUGGGAAGACUUGGAAGAUCUGUCUCAAGAACCAAGAAACAUGGCAGAGAAUCUGAGGAACAUCUUGGAAAGGCUUGGGGUAAACAUGUCCCAAGAUAAGGUUAGAGAAGUUGAAAGAACAACUCGUCUUGAUCAUGAGGGGGGAAUUGAGUCUGAAUCAAGAGUGCAAGAGCAGCACCAAGGGGAUUCAGGUCAUCAUGAUCAAGAGGUGACACAAGAAGUAGAGAAUGUUCCUCAGGUCGGUGAGAAUGAGCAGGGAGAAGUUCAUGAUCCAGAGGACGUGAGUGAGACAGAAACAGAGGUUCAAGCAGAGGUUCAAGCUGAGGAUCAGGUUCAGGUUUUGCGAAGGAGCACAAGGAUAAAGAGGGAUGCUUCCAACUGGGUAAACACGAGAGUGUACUACAAUGCCCAGGCUGUGGAGCAUCCUUCUCAAGCCGUAUGUUCCUUUGCAGAAUAUCCAGAAGAGCACAUGGUGUUUAUGUGUAACUUGGAUGAGAAUGAGAUACCAAGAUCUUAUGAAGAAGCUAUGAAGCACAAGGUUUGGAGAGAUUCAGUAGGAGAUGAAAGGGAUGCAAUGAUCAGGAAUGAUACUUGGUAUGAGAGUGAGUUACCUAAAGGGAAGAAGGCAGUUUCAAGCAGAUGGAUCUUCACCAUCAAGUAUCUUGCAAAUGGGGAGAUAGAUAGGCGCAAGACUAGGCUGGUUGCAAGAGGAUUUACACAGACUUAUGGGGAAGAUUACAUUGAUACUUUUGCACCAGUGGCCAAGCUUCACACAAUUCGAAUUGUGUUAUCCAUUGCAACAAACUUGGAGUGGGAUUUGUGGCAAAUGGAUGUGAAGAAUGCUUUCUUGCAAGGUGAACUUGAAGAUGAAGUAUACAUGCAUCCACCUCCUGGUCUUGAGCAUCUAGUAAAGCCAGGGAAUGUUUUGAGAUUGAAGAAAGCAAUAUAUGGGUUGAAGCAGUCACCUAGAGCUUGGUACAGGAAGCUGAGUACAACACUCAAUGGGAGAGGCUUUAGGAAGUCAGAACUAGAUCACACUCUCUUCACCUUGACAGGACCUUCAGGGAGCAUUGUGAUUCUAGUGUAUGUGGAUGAUUUGAUUAUCACAGGAAGUGAUAAGGCAGGGAUUCAGGCCACUAAGGAGUUUCUCAAAUCUGUGUUUGACAUCAAGGAUUUGGUAGAGAUGAAGUAUUUUCUGGGCAUUGAGAUAUGCAGAUCAAAGGAGGGUUUGUUUAUGUCUCAAAGGAAGUAUACUAUGGAUAUGUUGAAGGAGACUGAUGUGCUUGGAGGAAAGAUAGCCAAGACACCUCUCGAGGAGGGAUAUAAGGUUCUGCGUGAGGGGGAGGUUGAAGAGAAGCAGCUGUUUGAGGAUCCUAAGCUAUACAGGAAGAUGGUUGGCAAGCUGAUCUACUUGACCAUCACUAGGCCAGAUAUAUGCUUUGCGGUGAAUCAAGUGAGUCAACAUAUGCAGGCGCCAAAGGUCCAUCAUUGGAAGAUGGUUGAUAGGAUACUGAGGUAUUUGAGUGGCACGUCUGGUCAAGGAGUUUGGAUGGGUUGUAAUGGCAGUAGAGAAGUGGUUGGAUAUUGUGAUGCUGAUUGGGCAGGAGAUAGAGUGGACAGGAGAUCAACUACUGGGUAUUGUACAUUCAUUGGAGGGAACUUGGUCACUUGGAAGAGUAAGAAGCAGAAGGUUAUCUCCUGUUCAAGUGCUGAAGCUGAGUAUAGAGCCAUGUUGAAGCUGACAAACGAGUUGUUGUGGAUCAAGGGGAUCUUGAAGCAUUUGGAGAUUGAGCAGAGUACUCCUAUGACAAUGCAUUGUGACAAUCAAGCAGCUAUCCACAUUGCUUCUAACUCAGUCUUUCAUGAGAGGAUGAAGCAUAUAGAAGUUGAUUGCCACAAGGUGAGGCAGAUGAUUAUACUUGGAGUGAUAUUGCCAUGUUAUACAAGAAGUGAAGAUCAGCUUGCAGAUGUGUUUACUAAAGCAGCGAGAUUAAAGACAAUGGAGUCCAUACUAUCAAGACUUGGACUCAUUGAUCUUACUCCUAGGAGCUGAGUCCCUUAACCAUGGAGUCUCCACUCUUUUUCCCUCAUCACGGUUUUAUCCCAUUGGGUUUUCUUUGGUGAGGUUUUUUAAUGAGGGAGGUCUUCAUGGUUUCCAAGCUUGACUUGUUCUACAUGGUCAAACUUGAGGGGGAGUGUUGAGAUGAAGACCAAGGAGGCUGAGACAGUAACUUUAGAGUUUUACUGUGGUAACUUUAUUUUAACCACAGUAACUACUUGGCGAAGUUAUCUGAUGGGAUGAGAAGGUAACUUAAUGAGGAGUAGAGAGGAAAUUCGACCAAAGAGGAUAAGGAAGGAUAAGGGAGCACUUUGACAGCCUGUAUGAUGCUGGAAAGGAGAAUCUGCUUUAUUACUAUAGCAAGCAUGUGAGGAACCACAACCAAGCAUUUCAAAAGGAGUUCCAGCCUGUCCAUUGACUCCACAUGCUUAUGGAUUUCGAAAUCCCCUUUGUAUCAACCUUAUCUCUUCAUAUAUAACUUGUAUCUGAGACAUUAAAUCAAUUAAUGGAGUUUUGAGUCUAUCUCUCUCUAGAAUCUCUAUAUUCUCUCUAAACUUUACUCUAAUCUUCUCUGAUUAUUAUUAAACACACUCUAAAACACAAAAGUGUUCAAUAAUAUCCUUUAGACUCCACAAACUUCACUUCUCUGGAUACCAAAACCCUCCUGGUUAUUGGAUCAUAACGUUUGUACCCUUUCUGAGUGAUUGAGUACCCAAUGAACAUAGCUUUAGUACUCUUUGCUUCUAGCUUGUUCCUCCUCUCUCCGGGAACCAUCACAUAACAUAAACACCCAAAGACUCUCAAAUGAUCAAGGUGUAGUUUAGUCUUGUUCAAUACCUCAAAGGGAGACAGAUUCUUUAGGAUCUUGGUCGGAACUCUGUUGAUGAGAUAGCAUGCAGUCUGAACAGCAUCCCCCCAAAACCUCUUUGGAACAUUUGCAUGAAACAUCAUUGACCUUGCUACCUCCAUCAAGUGCCUAUUCUUUCUCUCAGCCACCCCAUUCUGCUGUGGUGUGUAAGGACAGCUUGUCUGCUGCACAAUCCCAUGCUUUGCUAGAUAACUCUUGAAAGCAUUGCUAGUGUAUUCUCCUCCAUUAUCAGAUCUUAGCACCUUCACAGUAGCAUUGUAUUGAUUAGUUACAUAUGCUUGGAAGUUCAUAAAGGCUUCUAGGACUCUAUCUUUAGAGGGAAUCAAAGUGACCCAUGUAUACUUUGAUUUCUCAUCAAUAAAAGUUACAAAGUACUUCUGGCUAUCCCUAGACUCACACGGAGAUGUCCACACAUCUGAGUGAACUAGAUCAAAGCAAUGCUCAUAUAUAGUCUCUGAUGCUGGAAAGACAGUCCUACAAUGCUUUCCUAAUAUGCAUGCUUCACACUCCAAGUGAUUAAAUGACAUAUUAGGCAUGAUUAACUCAAUUGCACGAGCAUGAGGAUGUCCUAAUCUAGCAUGCCAAGUCAUACUAUCACACCUAUCAGCAGCACUACUCAGGCACAUAGAGUUAAUGGGAUUAAGAGUCUUAGCUGUUUGGAGAUGAUAUAAGUGAUGCUUGCUGUCCCCUCUGCCAAUAACUCUUCCAGUCUUCAAAUCUUGAAACUCAACUUCAUUUGGCCUGAAUACUACUUGACAAUCCAGAUCAAUUGUAGCUUUCUUAACAGAUAUCAGAUUUGGAGUGAACUGAGGCAGAUAUAAGGCGGUUGAGCUCUUCUCAAACAGCUUGAGGUUUCCCAUUCCUUCUACUGGGAUCUGAGCGCCAUUAGCUAUGGUAACACACCCUGUUGCAGCCCUGACAUCACUUAUCAGACUCCUAUCACUGAUCAUAUGAUGUGUUGCUCCAGAAUCAAUUAUGAUAGGUUUAGAGGCUGUGUAGGAAUCGCUUUGCUUCUCACUUGCAGCUAGAGCACCUUGCUUCUUUCUUGCAACCAGUUCAUACACACACUUAACAAACUCAUCCCAUUCUUUCUUUGUGAUUGGAUCCUCUCCUCCUUUGGUCUCCUGCCUCCUUGUACUUACACCAUCUUCUACUGAUUCUCCCAAGUAAGCUGAGUAUGAACACUCUCCUAUAACCAUCUGCUGAAGUAUAUCCUUGAUUCUCUUCAAGAUCACACUCAUCCUGUCACUUAAGUUCUCAGACUCGCUACCCUUUCUCCAUGCCCUUCUCUUCAUUAACCACUCCUUAGAAAGUUUUCUCAACCUUCCCUUCUUACAGCUUGUACCUCCCUUCCAUCUUUCUGGUUUCCUGUUCAUCUCCCACACAUCACAAGUGUGUUUAACAAGCUCACAUACCUCUUCCAUAAGGAAGCCAAAGAUCACAUCUUGCUUCCUCCUUUCUUGACCACAUCUCGGAUUUGAUGUGUGUGCCUUCACCACAUCUAACUCUGACCAUACUUCUCUCAGCCUUCCCACAAGCUGAUAACACUCAUCCCUUCCUUGUCUCAAGCCGCGGAUCAUCCCUUUGUCCUCAACGACUCUUACAGGCUUGGACUUGCCUAAAGUUGCUUCAAUCUCACUCUUUGUAGUGUCUCCUUGAACAACUUCAUUUCCCAGAUUCAGACCUCUUGUCUGACCUUCUUCAGUAGCCAUUUCCAUGAAAGGUUUCCCCUUUCCAUGACUGCUCCAUAACCCACAGCUUUCCAAAGCUCCCUUUAUCCAUCUUGAACACACUCCAUCCAUUUCUUCUUCACGCCCCAAAGAUUUACUAAACCUGUGCUUCAUCUCCUGUUGAGGUUGCUUGAAUCGACCAGACAACCUCCCAAAUACCCAGAAACUGAAGAACAGCUCAAGAACAGCUCAAGAACAGCUCAAGAACACCAAGAACACACAACAGAUUCUCGCAAAUCACCACUCCCUUCCUUGCCAACCUGGCUCUGAUACCAUAUACACUUUUGUGUAUGUAGAGUGAUGAAUAAAUAUCAAGAGAUGAUUAGUGUAGAUUUGGAGAUUUAAGAGAGACUAAGAGAAUAAAGAACAAGAGAGAAUACUCAAAACUCCAUUUGAUUGAUUAAUGAGAGAGUUUACAACAUAUAUAGAGUAGGGAUACAUAAAAACGUCCAGGUUCAGUCUAGCUAGGAUAACAAGCAUGUGUAGUCAAAGAUGCCUUAUUCAAACUAGCCAAUAAGGUUCCUCACAUGCUUGGGUAUCUUGCUUUAGCUUUCCAGCUGUGCCAGCCUGUCUAAAGCUUUCUUCCCUUGACCAGACCUUAUCCAAACUCCUCCUUGCUUAUCCAUACUCCCCCUGGCGUGUUUCACUCUCCAAAUAGCUGCAAGGUAACUUCCCAAGUCUUAUAACUCAGUUACCACAGUAACAAUAAAGUUACUGUGGUAAAUCACCAAAGUUACUGCCUGCUCCAAAUCCCUUCCUCUAUCCAUGUAUCAACUCUUCAUCUCCUCAUCUCAACAUUGGCAAGAAGAAGUUAUCCCACUUUCAAAUCAGGUGAUUCCAGUUUCCCAGUUUGGGAAU
rnacentral:lncRNA from 1 species